rnacentral:lncRNA from 1 species
UUUUUUCCAUUGAUUCAUGGCGAUUGGCUCAGAUUUUGAUAAUGAUGAGGGAUUUGUCCAAAAUGCUGGGUUCUUCUUCACACAUUCUCUUCUGACAUUAAGUUUUGUGGGCCUUGGGGUCUCAAACUAGAACUUUACUGAUUCUCUUUGCUGCGUGUGCAACAAGACUCCACUUUGCAUUUCUGAUGUGGGUUUUCAGUUCUUUGUUAUAUAUGGGUUUUCAUUUCUUUGUUCUGCUGAAUCUGAAGUCCGUUCUUUCCACCCAAAAAAGCAGAUCUCAAGAAUGCCUUUUCCCUCAAGAAAGGGGAUCCAAAAACCAGUUUUUACAGCACAGUGUUUGGUUUUUUUUUGUUAUCCUGAUGUUCAACAUUUUGCAGAGCAGUUCUUUUAAUACAUGUUUUGUUGCUUUGAUCUCUUUCUUCUCAUUUUCUAAAACCCACAUUGAGGGGAAAAGCUUUAGCAAAUGAUACAUUCUUUCAACUGAUUCUGAUAUUUUUCUGCCACCGGCCCUUCAUUUAAUAUGUUCCUAGUAUAUGAGAUUUCUAUGCUGAAGGGUCCUUAAUAAACUUGUCCAACUAUACAGAAAGUUGAAACUUGAUGAAAUGCUCCAAAAAAAUAACCCUUUUCUCUCUUUGACUUUAUUGUUUUCCACAGCUCUAUGAACUUGGAAGGAAGAUAUGGUCAACCAAAGGAGAAGAGCAGGAAACAGCCAAGAAGGAAUUCAUAGAGUGCCUCAAGCUUCUGGAAGGAGAGCUUGGAGAGAAGCCUUACUUCGGCGGUGAAAAAAUUGGGUUUGUGGAUGUGGCUCUGGUGACCUUCUCUUGCUGGUUUCAUGCAUAUGAGAGCUUUGGAAACUUCAGCAUAGAGGCGGAGUGUCCCAAGUUGAUAGCUUGGACCAAGAGGUGCAUGGAAAAGGAGAGCGUGUCGUCUUCUCUGGAAGACCCACACAAGGUCCAUGGCUUUGUUAUGGGGAUGAGAAAGAAGCUUGGCAUAGAAUAACUAUUUUGUAGUGUUGCUGUGGUAAUAUUAGAUAUAUGUGAGUGUUUGGCUGUUUGCUUAAGUUUUUGCUUUGAAAUUGUAUGGUUACUAUUUGCAGUUGAAACCCCUUUUGGAGGGUUGGUGGGUUUGCUGGAAAGAAAUGUUUUGAAUUUGUUUUCAUUUGUUUUGGACUGGACUAGAGAGGUGUUCUUUGUAUUCCAUCAUUUCGUGUCAUAAACAAGUAUUAACACAAGUUGGAUAAGGCAUGCCUCUGGCCCUUUAUGGUAACGUACAAAGAUAUCAUGGGCCUACAAAGAUAUCAUGGGCUACAGAAUAGGUUAGGGCCCGCUUUUUAAAUCACUUUUUUUAACUAAUAUGUUUGGCAAAAGAUGUUCUUCAAUAAUUUAAUUCAUCUUCCUUGUCGGUCAUUUUAAGUAACAAGAAAAUGAAAAAGAAAUAAGAGAAAAGUUCAAUCACGUUCCAUAAUGUUUGUUUUUGAAAAUUGCUUUUAUGUUAAACAAACAAAAAUAAUUUUUUAAAAUUUUAUAAAAUUUUAUAAAAUAAGGAUGUUUGACAAGUUAUUUUGAAAUUGGUUUUUCUUUUAAAAAAAAAUAAUUUUUCUAUGUUGAUUUUGUAAAAAUAUUCUAAAUUUAAUUAAUAGAAAUUUAAUUGAGGUCUUAUAAAAAAUGAAAUUAGUUUUAAAUUAUAAAUAAAUUAAAAAUAGUAUAAUAUAUCAGCGUGGACCUAUUUUUUUUACGUGCGUCCUCACUCGACGAUGAGACUCGUUUUUUAUUUAUUUGGUGAAAAAUAUGAUUUUUAGAAAAAGAUUUGAAGUCCUCAUUGAUUUUUGUUUUAUUUUUCAAGGGAAAGACAAAAUAAAAAAUAAAAACCCUAAAUAUGAUUUCUGAAGGAAAAAUAGGUUUGUGAAAAAUCGAGUUUGGGUUUGGGGAUCAAGUUACUUAUUAGGAAGGUAUGGUAAUGAGUUAUAACACCCCUCUAAGCUCGUUUAUGUACGACCUCUACUAAAUGAAUUAAGGAAAUUGUGACAAUUAAUUAAUUAAUUAUAGAUACCAAGAAAAAUAAUCAUGUAAAUGAGUAUGUACAAGUCAAGGUGAAAAUUAAUAUACACAAAAAUAAUGAUGAAAUCUAAUUACAAGAAUACACAAAAUAAAUAACAAAAGAAUUAUGCAAAAAUAAUUUAUUGAACUAAAUAAAAAAUAUUAAAAAAAUAGUUUUCAAGAAAUUUCGAAGGAUUUUAUUAAAAAUGAUUUUUAAUUAAUGAUUUUAAUUUUUUUUAUUUACAAAAAAGAAGUUUCAAUUUAUUUUCAAUUAAUGAUUUGAUUCAAUUUCAUUUGUAUUUAAUUUUUUUUAAAAAAAAAGUUAUUUGCACUUAUUAUAUCAAAAGAAUUUAUUACAAAAUUUCAAUUUGGUAAUAAAAAUGAUUUUUACUUGCUUUUACAAAAAAAAUUACAAUUUUAUUUACGAAAGUAUUUCACUUUGUUUUAAUUUGAGAAAAGUGACUUAUACAAAUUAUUAAAAAGAAUAUAACUUUAUUUGCAAAAGAAUUUUUAAUUAAAAAUUAAUUUUUGGGACAACUUUAUUUACAAAAUAAUGUUUGGACAAUUUUUAUUAAACAAAUAAAUUUUUGGACAAUUAUUAUUAAAAAUAAUUUUUCAAAUUCUAUUAAAAACAAUUUUUUUGGAUUUUUCUAAAAGCAUUUUUUUGAAUUUUUAUUAAUAAAAAAAACUUUCUUUUAUUAAAAAGAAUAUUUUAAAAUUAUUAUUUUAUUAGAAUAUAUUUACUAAAUUAUUCCUCUUAUUUAAAUGACAAUUUUGAUUUGUUAAAUAUUUAAUUCUGUAUAUACUCAAUAAAUAUAUACAAACUAAUAUUUACAAGAACUAAUAGAAAUAAAAUCAAACAGAAGUGAGCAAUAAAACGUGUACCCAAAUAAGGUUACAACAAGCUUAAUGUCUCUCUACAACUUUUUUAUUCUUACUUUCUUCCAUGAAAUUUUGUGCUUCACGUGUUAUAAAUUUGUACUCAGCCAAUAGAAUUGCAGAAUAGGCCCAUGCAAAAACAAAAAUAGUUCAAAUGUAAAUAUCCAAAGGUGUACAAAAUCCUUAACAAAUAUUCAAACUCAAAUUCAAAUUUCAAAUUAGUUCGAUAAAUCUUGUCAAUCAAAAUGGACACAAAUUAACAAAUAUAACCUAACAAAAACAUCUCACAUGCUAUAAACCUUAAUCCAAAAAUUUCAAAUUAAUAACCAAAAUACAACACAAUUAGCCAAGCCCAAAAUAUCACAAAAUAAAAUAAAUUCAAUUAGGCCUAAAUUUAAUAUUUCAUAAUCCAAGCCUAAUUUAAUAUACACCAUAAUUGUCCCACAUCCAAAUUAAAUAGUUCAAAUUGGUGAAGCUCAUAUCAAAUAUUCAAGUCAUCAAUCAAAUUUCACCCACAUUGUGGACCCAAAAUCCAUACCUAUAUUAUGGGUCCAAAAUUCAUAUCAAUUAACAAGCCCACAUUAAUAAUACACAUGACCAAAGAAAAUAAUUUCCCAAGCCCAAUCCAAUAAGCCCAAAUAAAUAACAUUAGAUUCAAGUCAAAAUCAAUUACUAUGCAAACAAAAAUAAAAAAAUAAAGAUAAAAAAAUGAAAAUAAAAUAAAGUAAAAAGGAAAUUUACCCUUUUUUUUUAUAACUAUGGGUGGUAGGAUUGCUAGUCGGCAGUGACUGGCAGGUAAUGGCGGGUGGUGGCGGGCAGUGGUUGUCGGUAGUGGUGGGUGGUGGUUGGCCGGUAGUGGCCGUGGAGUGUGGGGAAGGGAAAAGGAAAGAAAAAGGAAGAGAAAAAAAAAUGAAGGAAGAUGGGGAGCGUGUGACAGUGGGGGUUUGUGGAAAAUGGCAGUGUAGAGAGAAGGACUAUGAGAAGAAGAAAAAAAAAAUGGAAGAGAAAAUGGGGACCAUCGUGUGUGAUAGUUGGGGGGAAGAAAAAAAAAAGAAAAAAGGAAGGGAGGAGAUGGGAGAGUUGACCGUGUUUGGUGUGUGGGUCGUGGAGCGGUUGUUGUGUUGGAAGGGAGCCUGAAGAAGAAAUGAUGGAGGAAAAAAAAGUGAAGAGAGGAACGUAGAGAAAGAUGAUAAAAAAAAAAAAAAAAAAAAAAAAACUUGGAGGGGGUAUGGGGAGUGGCUUAGACAUGUAGGAGAAGGAAAUGGGUAAGGGAAGUAGGUGGAGUGGGUAGAAUGAGGGGAAAGAGGAAGAGAGAAGAGAGAAGAGAGUGAAAAUAAAUAAAAUUAAAUUAAAAAUAAAAAUAUAAUAAUAAUAAUAAUAAUAAUAAUAAAUAAAUAAAUAAAUAAAUAAAAAUAAUAAUAAAAAUAAUAAUAAAAAUAAUUUAUAAAAUAAUAAAAACUAAGAAUUAAAGGGUGUAAGUGGGCUAAACAAUUAAGAUGUAAUCAAAAUUUAAAUCUAAGGAUAAAAUUGAGCUCAAUAUCAAUGUAAAAAUAAAAUUAGGACAAAUUUUGGGGUCUACAAUCGGUUUUCAUAUAUUAUUUCUUAUGGUGAUUAGAUCUAUUUACUAGGUUGUAACUUAAAAAAAAAAAAAAAAAACCUAUUAGUAAAUUCAAUGUUACUUGAUUUGAAGUUUAUUCUUUAAUAAAAAAAUUUAUAAAAAUAUAAGUAUGUAUAGAAAAAAAGUAGACUCAUUAAAACCCAAUUUUUAUCCAUAAAUUUUUAAUAUUAACCACUAUUUAAGUUUUAAGUUAUUUAAAAAAAUUACUAAACUCAUUAAUUAAUUUAAUGUAUUAAGUUUUGUUUAAUUUGGAUUUUAUUUGUCUAGUGAAAUAAAUAAAUAAAAAAUAUAGUUUCAUGUAGAAGAGAAACAAUAGAGUCAUUGUAGAUUAGAACUAGAAGUUAUAAAAAAUAUGUAAAAUAUAUAUAAUUAUAUAGCUGGAGUUUAUAUUAUAAAUUAUAAAGUUAAAAAAAAUAUAAAAAACUACCUUCAAUGUAAUUUCUAAUUUCUUUUAAUUAUAAUGUAUAAUCAAAAGUUAGACAAAACAAAAUUGUACACUCAUAAGUUAAAUAAUGAAUAUUUCAUAGCCUCAAAGGUGUAUACAAUUUUACACAUUUUUGUUAUGAUAAAAAUAAUCCAUAGCCAAAAACUAUGAAAGCGAUCAAUUCGUAAUUUUUAUUUUGUUAAUAUUACAUGAUGUUCAUGCAUUUUUUUAAACCAUAUUUAUAAUAAUCCUAUAGCGAUAAAAUAUAACAAAAUCUUAAAUCGUUAUAGUUUUAUUAUAGAAUAUUAACUGGAUAAAUAUUGUUAGAUAAUUUAAUUAAUUUAUUUUAAUAAAUUAAAAUAUUAUUCUAAUAAAAUUAUUUCAAAUAUUAUUCUAAUUUAAAAAUUACUAGACUGUUAAGUCUUGUUUAAUUUUGAGUUCAUUUAUAUAGUAAAAUAAAAUUGGAAAAUAUGAUUUCAUGUAGAAGAAAAAUAAUAGAGUUGUUAUAGACUAAUUUUCAUCCAUAAAUUUUUAAUAUUAAUUACAUCAUUAUUUGAGUUUUAAGUUAUUUCUAGAAAUUACUAAAUUUAUUAAUGAAUUCAACACAUUAAGUUUGGUAUAAUUUUAAGUUUAUUUGUCCAAUGAAACAAAAUUGGAAACAAUAAAGUCAUUCAAGUUCAAUUUUUGUCCAUAAAUUUAUGGUAUUAAUUGGAUCACUAUUUGCAUUGCAAUUUAUUUUUAAGAAUUACUUAGACUUGUUAAUAAAUUCAACGCAUUAAGUCAUACUUGAUUUGGUGAUUAUUUACUAAGUGAAAAAAAUUGUAAAAAUAUGAUUAUAUGCAAAGAAAAAACUAGCCAAGACAUUUAAAUGAAUUUUGGUGUAUGAUAUUCUAAUGUUAGUGAGUUUCAUGACUUUAUAGUACUAACUAAAUCAAUUUUUGACUUUUAAGUUAUUUUUAAAAAUUAGUAAAUUUUAUGUAUAAAGUAUAAUUUGAUUUAGAAUUUAUUUUAUCAAUGAAAAUUUUCUUAAAUUAAAUGAAAUUCAUUAAAACACAUGUAAUUUAAAAGAAUAUUAUAUUUGAAGAUUUUUAGUAUCGGUAUUAGAUCGUAGAAAGAGGUAAAGAAGAAUGAUAUCAUCUUCAAUCUUAUUUGCUUUUUAUAGUUUUUUUAAAUUCCUCUAUAUUUUUCUUUUGCUUUUAAAAAUUGAUGAAAACAAUUUCUACUUGUUUUCUAAAAUAUGUUUUUUAUUUCACUUUAUUUUUAAAAAUUACAAAUAGAAAACAACUAACAAACAAUUUUAUGAAUUUUUAAAAAUAGUUUUUUUUUUAAUUUUUAAAAACAAAAGUUAUUUUUUAAUGAAAUGGCCAAAUGGGCUAAAAACUUUUCAACAGCAAAUUUUGAGAAUUUGGGUCAAGUGCUAUGUGCUCUUGUACAAUCCUCCACUAUUUUUGGCCUUCAUGUCACCGUUGUCAACUUUUACUGUGAAUAAGUUCACGAGCUUAUCUUACUUUAUAUUCGAGAGCAAGGAACAAGAUCUUGAGAGAUGCUUGGUUUGUUUUUUUUUUUGUAUUAAAGAAAUAAAAGAGUAUUCACUUACUAUUCCAUUUUGUACUAAAAAAAUUUGAUAAGACAUUGAUAGGCAUGUAAAUAUUAUAACAUUUAAAUAAACUAAAAAUAUUUUUGUUAUAUUAUUUUAAUUUUAAUUUUUGAACUUUCAUAUUAACGUUCGUUUUAAUUUUUCAUAUGAUUUAAAAUUGAUCAUGGUUCUAACCUUUUACUAGGCUAAAAUCUUUAACUUUUUUAGAUACAUAAAAUAGAAAAUAAAAUAUAUUUUCAUAUAAAUUGUAUUAACAUUUCUUUAAUUAAUUUUUAUAUUUCUUAAAAUACAUAUAUCUUAAAAUACAUAUAUCUUUUUUAAAAAAUAAGUACAUCAUUUAGAAAAAUAGGUACAUCUAAUAUAAAAACAUGUACAUUUCAUUUCAUCGGGGAUUCUUAUCCUCAUUCAACCUAAUUCGGGUGUGGGAUUUCACUUAUGUAGGUCUCAGAAUGCAUUUGAGGUCUUCUUAUACCCUAUUCAACAUGAUAUAACUUUGUGUACAUGUUUUAAAAAAAUGUAUAAAAGUUUAGAAAAGUAUUUACAUCUAAUUUGAGUUGAAUCAUUCCCUUAUUCGACCUAUUUUGAAUCUAAAUUUUAACUUCUAUAUACCUCAUGAUGCAUUCCCAAACCCUAUUUGGCAUGGUAGAACCCUAGGUACAUAUGUUACAAAAAUAAGUAUACUCUUAAGAAAAAGUACAUCUUUUACAAUAAUAACUAUAUUCUUAAAUAUAUAUAUAUAUAUAUAUAUAUAUAUAUACAUUCGUAAGAAAAAUGCAUAUAUUUGAUUUGAGGUUAACCAUGAUCCAAUUCAACCUAAUUUGGAUAUAAGAUUUGACUUAUAUAUGCCUCAAAAUGUAUUUUAUGCCUUCCAAAACUUCAUGUAGCAUGGUAGAAGUAUAGGUUCUGAAAAGGUGAAUCUCAAUAGUGGAAUACACCUAAAGGGGGGUUGAAUAGGUGUUUUGACCAAUUGAACAAAAUCUCAACUCAAAUUAGUAAACCUUAAAACUUCUUGAAUAUUUUUCUUCUCUUCACAAAGUCUAAAAAACAAAUUAUAAAUCACAUGAAUAUAUGAAUGCAACAACACUCCCCAACAAUAUUCAAAUGAAAUUCACAUGCACAUGAUCUAAUACUCCUAAACCCAAAUCAACUUAAAACUAAAUUAUGAUAAAAACAAGAUCAAUAUACAUCAAAAUAUCAAUGAUUAACAAUCAGAAAUGACUUCAAAGAUAAUUCAUAGCCAUUUCUCUUUAUCAUUCAAUCAAAUACUAGACAAUCAAAAUUAUAAUAAAUUGUAGAAACUAAAAAAUGAUGCGAAGAAGAGAAAACGAGACAAUGAGACACCAUAAAUUUACAUGGAAAAUUUUUGAAGAGAUAAAAAACCAUAAGCCUACUACCAAUCAAAAACAUCCACUAUGAAGAAUAAAAACUAAAUACAAGGUUUUACCUAGCUCAAGCCAACUAAUCCUUCCCGGACCACUUGACUAGUACCUUCACUUUUAGUUUCUCACAUUCUUAUUUUAGAGCACAUUUGGAGUCUACACCAAGCUCGAUCUCGACCUCUUAUUGAUUUCACAUAAGAAAAAAAUGGGUUUUUGUGCAAAACCAAGAGAAUUAGAUAUGAAUGUUUCAAAAAUCAACCCAUGCUCAUUUUCAAAAAAUCCAUUUUAAAAAAAUUUCUUAGAAAACUUGGAUGGAUUUUCUUCGUAGGUAAACACCCUUAAAAUGGUGAGGAAAGAAAAAACUCUCUCACAACUAUUGUAGUCACCACUUAUAGAGAUGGAAGAGAUUUGAUUUUAAAUGAGAAAGAAACCCUUAAUCGAAGGGUUGAAAGUUGAUCUUAAAAAUAGGUUGGUUGGAUCAAUCUGCCUCUACACUUAGAUCAAUCCAAAAACAGGGGAACAAAAGCCUUGUGCUAAUAAUAUUUCUCCUUGUUUUCUUAACUCAUUUAAAGAUGAAAAAACAGGGUUGAUUCAUAUUCAAUCACCACACUCGACUAUAUACCUCAGCCUCUUAGCAAAGUUUUAAUCUUCAAAGGUCAAGUAGUCCGAAGAGGGAUUUGUAAACUGAGUUAGGGGACACUUAGGAAUUUUGUUUGAAAUUACCAACCUAGCUAAACACUCACAAUCUCCUCCUUUGGCAAUUCUGGGACAAAACUCUUUACAAUACGAAUGAGUACAAGUAAGUAAGUCCCACCCAACUCUCAUACAAGGCCACACACUCACUCAAAACCUCACCAAAGGUGCUACAAAUCCUAUAAAUAAAUCUCAAGAAAAAACUUUAGGAGCACUUGCACAUAUUACCAAGACACUUCCAUAAGUUUCGAAUGAAUUGAUACACAAAUAUCCACAUAUAUCCACAAAAUCACAUGUCUAAAGAUAGUUAAUAUGCAUUCAUGAGUUCAAAAACGUGUCAAAUAUCCAUCGAUAUACAAAAAGGGUGAUCAUGAUCAACAUAUCAAAUAUCCAAAGCAACAAAACACAAAGAAACCGUCAUGAUCAACUACAUGUCAUAUCAACAUCCAUGUAAAAUGUAAAAUGUUUCCUAAUUUUUGUCCCAGUAGGAGACAAAAGGUCAUAAUCUCCCAUUUUCUAUCUUAGAAAAAAGACAAAUGAAUGAGAAUUCAAUAGCAUAAUAUCUCACAUCCAAAUCAACAAACAUCCACUUUUCAACAAAAUGUCAAAUACCCAAAAAUCAAAUAUUCACAUAUUACCAAGUAUCCAUAUCAACAUUUCAGAAAAAAAAAAUUAUAGGAUACAAUAAUCUCCUCUUGACUCCCAUCACAAGAUAUAAGAAUCUCUCCCUGAAUCCUAUCACAUGGUUUCAAUUAAAAACUUUCAAAAAAUAUGCUUUAUCACCAUGAAAAUAGAUUUCAAGCAUGAAAAUUUAUGGAAACCACUCAAAAUGAACAACCAAAGCCUAGGAUUAGCAUUCCUAGAAACUAGGAACACUCCAAGGCAAAAAUGAAAUCUCAAACUAUUAAAACUAUUGUGAGAAGACUCCACACACAAAAAAUAAAUAAAUAAAAUCCAAAUGAGACUAAGGGCUGAUUGGAAUUUCCAGAAGUGUAGAUUGUGUUGUGUUGAUUGUGCUGUGAAAAACAUAGUCCUAAGGGUUGAUUGGAAUUUCCAACUGCUGGAACGGAAUCCCAACUACACAAGAUACAAUCUAGUGACGCACAUUGGAGGUCCUAGCCAACACAUACUAUGUAGAAGGCAAUUUCUGACAACACCGACGCACUAAGAAGAGACACACAGACCGACGACAUGAGUUGGACAACACAACAAUUCUAGGCUAUUCGACGAGGCUGUUUGGUGGGAUUGGCUAGACUUGAAACGCUCACCAGAUAGGGAAGUCUGACUAUAAAGGUUUCCAAUGGUAGAGACUUAUGACGGUAGUGGUCGGAAUGAUGAACCGACGAUGAUGGCUAAAGAGAAGCAUAGAGUAGAGAAGUUUCCUUCUUUAGAACAAAAGACCUAGGGCUUUUGAAAGAAAUGAAUUGGGAAAAACUGAUUUAGGGAUUUUGACUUUUUUACUUUUAGUUACGAAAAUACCUCUCAUCCAUUAAACCAUAUGAGCAUAACUAGUUGGGGGCAAAAAUGGAAAUUUUCACAAAUGCAUAAGUGGUAUCGAUUUUAGUGGAUUGAUCUAGCUUUCGAUUGUGCUCUCGAUGAUACACAGUCACAUAGGUUUGAACAUACCAAAUUUGAAAAAAAUGGUUAAGUGUGUGAGAGACAAGUACUAGGUGGUAUCGACCUUGGUGGAUCGAUCUAAGAUUCAUUCAAGGGCUCUCGAUCACUACAUUGUGCACACAAUGGAUCGAUCCACAAAUUCAAUAGAUCGAUCGACACCUAAUUGAAAAAUGACUUAGGCAAAAACUAUUGAAAAAUCACAAGAAAUACACCAAUAGGCUUUCCAAAAACUGAAAAUUGAUUGACCAAAGAUGAGAUACAAUAGGAUGGCAUACUUAUAUUUCAAUUAAUGAGUUAGAGUUGAUUCACAUUGAACAAAAAUGCUUCCAAGAACUUAACAAUGGACAAAAUUAAUAAACAUAGAGAUUGAAGUACUUUCCAAAUUUAUCAAAUGAAUAGGUAAAAAACAAAUGAUUAUCAACACUCUAACAAGGAAGCUUAAGCUAAAAAAAAAAACUCACUCAUGACACCAUAAAACGGUGAAAAUGUUAAAUAAUUUCCACUUAUAAACCUAUAUUCAUUUAUGAGCCAAAAAUCAUUUUCAAGAUACUCUUCCUUUCUAGAGAAAUUCAAGAUAAUGUUCCAAGAAGUCAAUUUGCAUCUCUCUUGGCUAGAUUUCUGUUUAACAUGACCUAAUCACAUCCCUUUAAUAAAAUUCAUACACUAUUUGCUUUUCAUAUUUAGCAUUGAAAGGAAUACAAAGCUAUAAGUUUUACCUUAAAGAUCAGUUUUUGACUUGAGGAUCUCUAAGGACGCCUUUACAACAUAACAACAUAAGAGAUGUCCCACUUUUGCAAGGGAGGCUUUUUAAUUCUUGAAACACUGCCAAAGAGCCAUAUCCAUUCCGGGAAACUUCAUAUUUUCUUUUUCUUUUCUUUUUCAUUUUUUUUAAAAAUUUAAUUUCAAAGAGAGGACAAACAAUCAAAGAUUGAUAUUCUCAACCUCUCAAGGAUAUUCCAGGUGUCUUUACUCACUCUUUAAUGCUCAUUAAAUGGGUAUAAGUUUACAUUUAGACUUUAAAGAGCAUUAUUCACCAUUUAUGCAAACACAAGGUCUAACAAUGAGCUUUUUCUCACUUAAUAGAAAUGAAGCUAAUCAUUUGUAGUUUAUCUAACCAAAUCAAAAUAGCAAGGAUUCAAUAUCAUGUUUAUCAAACAAGCCAUGGAGAUAAAGACAUCUUGAAGCUUUUAAGAUCAUGAUGAGUUAAUUUAACUUUUAAACAAAAUGAAUAAGCAUGUCACUCUCAUGAACUCAACAAUUGUUGAAAAUUUAUGAAAAAUGGAGAAAAGAUUGAACCAAAACAAAAAGAACAUCAAGUUGAUGAUAUUUGGGAACUUAGGAAGACAACUAGGACUCAAGAAUAUGCAAGAGGAGUCCUAGACAAGUUUUAGAGGCAAUUAAAUAGAGAGUAUAUAAACCUAUGGGGCUCCUAAGUGAUUCAAACCUAGAAAUGUCCAAAGGUUUAGUAACAUUGUUAGCAAUUUGACUUUCUAUAGGGAAAAACUCUAGUGAAACAACCUUGUCUUCUACCAAGUCUUGAAUGCAGUGAUGCUUAAUGUCCACAUGUUUUUAUCUAGAAUGAAGAACACGGUUCUUUAACCUAUCAAUAACAUUGGCAUCAUCAAAUUCCUCCCCAUCAAUCUUAACUUUUACAAUGGGAUGCUCUUUUUCAUUUUGCAACAAUCUAUGUUGUAGCAAGUGAUUAACACAUACAAUUUUAGAACUUCCACACACAAGAGAAGAGGAUGAAGGAGAUUUUUUACUAACAACAUAGCACUUAUCACAAAUUCUCAAGCCCAUCAUCACACAUACAUCAUUCAAGUUAAACACCUUGCAAAAAUUUUGUGAAAAUUUUACAUUGAACUCAUUCCCACACAUUUGGCUUAUUCUAACUAAGUUAGCCUUUAAACCUUCAUAUAAGACCUCUUCAAGAUUAGGAAUUUCGGGGGCACAAAUGGUACCUUUGUCUUUCACCCUAGCCACAUUACCAUAUCUAAAUGUCACAUUUCCUCCAUCAAAUUCAGUGAAUGAAGUGAACAAAGAUUUAUUUCCAGUCAUAUGAUGUGAGCAUCUACUAUCAAGAUUCCAUGAGUGUGACUCACUAGCUCUAAGUACGUUAUGGACAACAAAACACUUCAACUCAUUCAUUUACACCCAAAUUUGUUUAAUAUUUGAGACUUGUCUUUUCAUUCAAAGUGCUUCCUUUCAACUCACCAUUAUGAGGGAUCUUUGACCACUUCUUGGACACUCUCUUAUUCUCAUUCAAUAACCUAUUCUUCAAAGUAUAACAUUCAUUCAUUAGGUUGGUAAAUUUCUUUUGAAAAUUAUCAGACAAUCUUGCAUAACAUCUAUAAAAAAUGUGUCCCAUUUUGCCACAAUGAUUGCAAUGAAACUUGAUUUGAGAAUGAGUUUUCUUAGGAGAUUAUUUUUCACAAGGCUUAACAAAAAUUGUUUUACCACUACUUGGAGUAGUAUUUGCAUCAACAAAUCCUAAGCCUUGUUUAUCAAAAAAUUUACACCCUAAAUUGAUCAACUCAUUAAGUCUCUUAGAGCUAGGAUGUGACUCUUCCUUCUUAAGACUUAACCCAUCCUUGAACAUUUGAUUCACUUUUCAAUACAUAAUAUUUUUUCUUCACUUCCAAAUGUUCAUUUUCAAGAAAUCCAAUUUUGUCAAGCAAAACCUUAUUUUCUCCCUUCAAGACAUCAAUCUCAUUGAUUAGAAUAUUCUUAGAAGCCUUCCACUUGACUUGUUCUUGUUUAAGGCUCAAGCACUCCUUAUACAAAGUCUCAUAUGCCGUGUCAAAACUCAUGUCAUCAUCAUUGGAGUCACUUGACUCAUGACUCACUUAUCACUUAAGACCUCUUUCUUGAGUGGUUUCUCAUUGACACUUGCAACAAAGGCUAUGAAGUUAGUGCAUUUUUCACUUCCAUUGGAUUCUUUUUCACUUGAUUGACAAGAUUCUAUGUUGCUUCAAGUGACUUGCAUGACCUUCUUUCCUUUUUUUCUUUGAGGGACAUUUGGCGGCAUAAUGUCCAUUUCCUCUACAUUUAAAGCACUCAAUCUCCAACUCUUUUUUCACACAUUUCUCCAUAUCCUUCUUUUUUUUCUAAUAGAGUUCCUCCAUUUUUACCAUCAUUUGAUUCUUUCUUGGAUUUUAUGAAUUUCAUGUACUUCUUAAUUUUUUUAGUAAACUUAGUAAGCACACCAUUUGAUAUUUUCUCAUCAUCCUCACUUUCGGAACUUAGGGACUCUUCUUUAAUAGUUUUUAAAGCAAUUCCCUUAGCUUUCCUAGGUGAUACAAGCGUCAUCUCAAAGGUUUGGAGGGAACCUACAAGUUCAUCUAUCUUCAAGGAAUCCACAUCCUUAGACUCUUCAAUGGUGGUAACCUUAGCUCUAAAUCUCUCUCGAAGAGAUCUUAAAAUUUUUCUAACCACCUUAGUGUUAGAGACGGAUUCACCUAGAUUGAAGUUAGAAUUCACUAUAUCCAUCAAUUUUGCAUGAAAUUCUCCAAAAGUUUCAUGGUCAUCCAUCCUAAUGGUCUCAAACCUAGAUGUCAACAUUUGAAGCCUGGACAUUUUUACGACAUUAGUUCCUUCAUGAGUCACUUGGAGGAUAUCCUAAGCCUUCUUUAACCAAAGUGCAUGUGGCAAUCCUAUGAAAUUCAUUCGUACUAAUGGCAUUGAAGAUGGAGUACAUGGCUCUAGCUUUAUUCUCACUUGCUUCAUUUUCACUUCUAUCACAUUCCAAUUUUGGCUUGAUAACAUUUGUUAGUUUACCUUCUCUAUCUAACACCUUAGGUGGAGACUAACCAAAUUCAAUGACAUUCCAAACUUUUUCACUUUGCAUUUUGAGAAAAUAUUGCAUUCUCACUUUCCAAUGAGAAUAAUUUUCACCAGUUAAGAAUGGUGGUCUCCUAAUGGAAGAUCUCUCUUAAUGAGGUUCCAUGAUUGAGAUUUAAGGACCGAAAAUGAUUUUUUCUUUAAAAACCCUCUCUGAUACCAAUUGAAAAGGUGAAUCUCAAUAGUGGAAUACACCUAAAUGGGGGUUGAAUAGGUGUUUUGACCAAUUUAUCAAAAUCUCAACUCAAAUUNNNNNNNNNNNNNNNNNNNNNNNNNNNNNNNNNNNNNNNNNNNNNNNNNNNNNNNNNNNNNNNNNNNNNNNNNNNNNNNNNNNNNNNNNNNNNNNNNNNNAAAAAAUGCACACUCUCUCACAAAGAAUGUAAAUUUUUCAAAAAAAAAAAAAAAAAAAAAACUUUCUUUUAUGGGGGGGCGCGGUGCUAUACAUUCUUAUAUAGGUAUAUAUAUAAAAAUAUAGAGACCUCACAGAGAAUGUGAGGGGUUCCUGUUCCUUGUGGGUCACUUCUAAAUCCUACACACACCCCUAAGAAACACACACACACUUUUUUUAUGGUGAACCACGACAAUAUACAUCCUUAUUUGGAUCUCUCUAUAAACAUAUAGAAGUGUGGGAGUGUGUGAGGCUCUCCCUUAUUUGAGUGGGCGUUUCUAAAACCUAUAUACAAAUUUUUUUACAUAUAGAAAUAUGAGAGGUACACGUCUAUUAUCUUUUCAUACCAUAUCUAUAUCACUCACUCUCUCUCUCACGUUUGUUUUGUGUGUAUAUAUAUAUAUAUAUAUAUAUAUAUAUAUAUAUAUAUAUAUAUAUAUAUAUAUAUAUAUAUAUAUAUAUAUAUAUAUAUAUAUAUAUAUAAAGUAUAUCCUUUUUAGGUUGUGCCUUUGAAUUAUUCCACUUNNNNNNNNNNNNNNNNNNNNNNNNNNNNNNNNNNNNNNNNNNNNNNNNNNNNNNNNNNNNNNNNNNNNNNNNNNNNNNNNNNNNNNNNNNNNNNNNNNNNCAAAGAUGAUUCAUAGUCAUUUCUCUUCAUCAUUCAAUCAAAUAGUAGACAAUCAAAAUUAUAAUAAAUUCUUGAAACUGAAAACUGAUGCUAAGAAGAGAAAGAGAGACAAUGAGACACCAUAAAUUUACAUGAAAAAUCUCCGAAGAGAUAAAAAACCAUGGGCCUAUUACUGAUUGAAAACAUCCACUAUGAAAAAUAAAAUCUGAAUACAAGGUUUUACCUACCUCAAGCCAACCAAUCUUUCCCAAACCACUUGACUAGUACCUUUACUUUCAGCUUCUCACCUUCUUCUUUCGAGGCACACUUGGAGUUUGUACCAAGCUCAAUCUCGACCUCUUCUUGAAUUCAUACAAGAACAAAAUGGGUUUUUGCACAAAACUGAGAGAAUGAGAGAUGAAUGUUUCAGAAAUCAACCCAUGUUCGUUUUUAGAAAAUCCAUUUUUUUAAAAAAAUUAUUGGAAAACUUGGACGGAUUUUCUUCAUAGGUAAACACCCUCCAAAUGGUGAGGAAAGAAAAAACUCUCUCACGGCUACUACAGUCACCACUUCCAGAAAUGAGGGAGAUUUGAUUUUAAAUGAGAGUGAAACCUUAAUCCAAAGGUUGAAAAUCGAUCUAAAAAACAUGUUAGUUGGAUCAAUUUACCCCUAUACCUAGAUUGAUCCAAAAACAGGGGAACAAAAGCCUUGCACCAACAAUAUUUCUCUCAGUUUUCUUUACUCAUUUAAAGAUGAAAAAUAGGGUUGAUUCACAUUCAAUCACCACACACUCAACCACAUACCUUGACCUCUUAGCAAGUCUUAAUCUUCAAAGGUCAAGUAGUUCGAAGAGGGAUUGGUAAACCAAGUUAGGGAACACUUAGGAAUUUUUUUCGGAAUUUCCAACCUAGCUAAACACUCACAGGUUCAUUUUUUUAGAAACAUAUAACACCUUAAGAAAAAUAUGUACAUUUGAUUUCAACUUAACAUGACAGAGUCACACUCAUUUGGGUCUAAGAUUUGACUUAUGUAUGCUACAAAAUGUAAUUAAGAGCUUCCCAAACCUCAUUUGACAUGGUGGAACCCUACCUAAGGUACAUCUUUUACAAAAAUACAUACAUUCUUAACAAAUAUAUAUAUAUAUAUAUAUUUUGAAGAAAAAUACUUACAUUUUUUUCAAGCGAACUGUGUGUUGGCGUCGUAGAUCUAAGGAACGGAAACAAUACGAAUUUAUUUAUUUAUUUUUUUAAAUUGAUCUUUAGGGUUAAAGUGCUAACCUUUAGGUUUGGAUGUUUCAGACCUUAAAUUCCAAGUGUUGAAGAUGACAUUGAAGUUGUUGGAAGUCUCGUAAACCCAUGGUCUUUUGCUUGAUGACUCAACUUUAUUCUUGGCACAUUUUUGAUAGGAAGGAAAGAAAGGUGGAGGCUAGAGCUCUCUUUAUCUCUAAAUGGUGGAAGGAAAAAGUGAUGAAGACUCUAACCCCUAGGGGGUAUUUAUAGGGUUCCUAACUAAGCUUAAGUGACUUGAGCCCACAUGGGCUUGGGUAACUUAAUUUAGGCCAAAAUGGAUCCUAAUUGAUUAAUUAACCCAAUAGGGCCUACUAAUUAAUUAAUUAGCUCAAUCUAGAGACUUUGUUCACUUAUCCUUGUGCAAUCUUGUAUAAUUACCAAAACACCCUUAUGCACAAAAGUAAACCUAUAGUCAAUUCGACCCUCAUAACUAUGCCAAAAAGAUAUAUAAGCUCAGAGCGGGGACCACUAGGAUCCAUAAGAGUACUAACUCCCUCAGGAUCCAAUUAUGAAGUUGAUUCAACAUCUUAUUACAAAGAAUCAACCAAACUCCAAUAUUCUAUGUAAAUAACAACAAGACACUACGUGCUCGGGUCUAUGACCUAGUAUCCAUUGUGUUCAGUCUUCCCAUGAACUGGUGUUUUAGUCUAACAAGGUGAAAGCUAUCAACCUUUCAAGACUCUCUACCAUCCUUGUGUUACAAAUCCUCCUAUUGUAUAUUCAAUUGACAUGUCUUAGCUUUCAAAGAGCUUAUGUCAAGUUCUACUUAAGGAACUAUUAUGACCAUAGUUUCCAUGAACACAUCCCCUUAAGAUCACCCAAGGGGACACAUUGUCUCAAUCCCAUGAGAUAUCAUGGUGUCUAUUGAGAAUGCCUAUUGUUACCGACUUCCAUUAACAGUGACCCAAUCCAUAGGGAAUAUAUGAUCAACUUACGAUCUCACCCAUAGGUAAAAGUCAUUGCUAAUUUUAGUACAAUCUCAAUAUUCUCUCAAGGUUGAGAGAUAACACAAUGAAGUAUCUUGGUGAGGUCAUGACUACUUGAUAGUCUUAAGUCAUGACUCAUCAUAGGUCUUGUCCAACGUGUAAUCAUACACAGUAGUGUACUCACCAUGGGAAACCCAUCCCAAUAACGAAGACCAACCAUCCCUCCAAUUAGGAGGUGGUGCACUACAACCUCUAAUGGGUUGCCUAGACCCAUAAACCGGUUGUGAACAAGUCAAUUAUUUGCAAGGAACCCAUGACUUAAAGAUCUUCUAUGCAACUCCUAAUGCACCUAAGUCAUGUACAAUGCAAAAUAUGUUGACAAGACUUCUCAUAAAAUAUAAUACAUGGAAUAAAGAUAGAUAAAAGUGAAAUGGGAACAUCAUUAAAUAAAUAAGGAAUUUCAAAUUUAAUACACCAUGUUAUGCUUUUAAGAGCUCUAUCUUAAGACUAUAAUCCUAUUUGACCUUAUUUAGGUCUAGGUAUUCACUUAUGGAAGCCUGAGAAUGAAUUAAAGGUCUUUCCUUACCUUGUUAGGCUUUUCUAAACCAUAAGAACAUCCUUAAGAAAAAAUACAUAUAUUUUUAUGGAAAACAUGUACGUUCUUAAAAAAACAAAAUAUGUGCGUUUUUUUUAAAGGAGAUUGUGACCUUAUUUUGCCUUAUUUAGGUUUUAAUAUUAACUUAUGGAAGCCUUGUAAUAAUUUUGAGGCUUCCCAUUCCUCGUUGGUCAUUUUUAAAGUCUACGUACAUCUUUAAGAAAAAUAUGCACAUUCUUAAACAAAGUAUGUAAAUUCUUCAAAAAAAAAAAAAAAAAAAACCUUUUCUUUUAAGGUGGACCAUGGUUCUAUUCAUUCUUAUUUAGGUCUAAAUAUUAAAUUAUAGAAGCCUCAUAAUGAAUUUGAGGUCUUCCUGUUCCUUGUAGGUCAUUUCUAAAUCCUACAUACAUCCUUAAGAAACAUACAUGCAAUUUUUUUAAGGUGAACCAUGACAAUAUACAUCCUUAUUAGGAUCUCAAUAUUAACAUAUGGAAGUGUUGGAAUGUUUGAGGCUUUCCCUUAUUUGAUUGGGCAUUUCUAAAACCUAUGUACAAUUUUUUUAACAUAUGGAAAUAUGAUAGGUACAUGACUAGUAUCUUUUCAUACCAUAUCUAUAGCAUUCAUUCUUACUAUCAUGUUUGUUUUGUGAUUAUAUAUAUAUAUAUAUAUAUAUAUAUAUAUAUAUAUAUAUAUAUAUAUAUAUAUAUAUAUAUAUAUAUAUAUAUAUAUAUAUAUAUAUAUAUAUAUANNNNNNNNNNNNNNNNNNNNNNNNNNNNNNNNNNNNNNNNNNNNNNNNNNNNNNNNNNNNNNNNNNNNNNNNNNNNNNNNNNNNNNNNNNNNNNNNNNNNUCAAAAAAAAAAAAAAAAAAAACCCUUUCUUUUAAGGGGGGGCACGGGUCUAUUCACUCUUAUUUAGGUGUAAAUAUAAAAAUAUAGACGCCUCACAAAGAAUGUGAGGUCUCCCCGUUCCCUGUGGGUCACUUCUAAAUCCCACACACACCCCUAAGAGACACACACGCACUUUUUUUAAGGGGAGCCACGACACUAUACACCCCUAUUUGGGUCUCUCUAUUUACAUAUGGAGGUGUGGGAGUGUGUGAGGCUCUCCCCCAUUUGAGUGGGCGCUUCUAAAACCCAUGUACACUUUUUUUAACACAUGGAAAUAUGAGAGGGACACGUCUAGUGUCUUUUCUCACCCUAUCUAUAGCACUCUCUCUCUCUCUCACGUGUGUUUUGUGUGUAUAUAUAUAUAUAUAUAUAUAUAUAUAUAUAUAUAUAUAUAUAUAUAUAUAUAUAUAUAUAUAUAUAUAUAUAUAUAUAUAUAUAUAUAUAGAUAUAUCCUUUUUAGGUUGUGCCUUUGAAUUAUUCCACUUCUAAUGGUUUGAAUUGUUUUUUCUAUUCUAAUGACUAUAAUUACCAUGGUACCAAGAAUUAUGUUUACCACGACCAUGAUUGUGUCCUUAGCCUUGUUCACGUCCAAGUCCAACUCAAUGUCUAGGAGCUUGGACGGAUGUGACAGUUGCUUCUAGCAAUGACACAUACCUAAUAGUAUGAGGUUGAUGAUUCUUCGGUAGAAGUUCAUUAUUUUGUUUAGCCAUAAGAAGACAUUAAACUAAUUCAAAAUAUUUAGUGAAAUGAUGUUCUUGAUAUCGUUGCCAUAGGAGUACAUUCGAGGCAUGAAAAAUGGUGUUCAUUAUUCUUUAAUGAUUUUUUCUCCAUAUAAAUUGUGAACAACUUUUGAAUAAAGUCGAGUUGUGGUCAUUGACAGACUUGAAAUUUUGUAAUCUCAAGUGCAUCUAAUCAUGAUGUGCUUUUGGAAGGAUUACAAUCUCGUGGUGGCCAUAUCAUUAUGUUAUAUUAUUCCAAAGGAUCAAAGUAUCAUUCCAUUAGAUUAUUUCAAAGGAUGAAAAUUCUUUGAUUGUAAGGAAUUCACCUUUUAUUCCUUCAUCAAUGUGAUAAUGAAGGAAUAUUAAUGCUCUAGUACGAUCUUGUGAGGAUGCCUCAUUUUAUUUUUUAAUGGUCUUUUCAAGAUUCAUAUUGUUUAGGUGAAUUUUAGCAUCUAGAAUCCAUAUAAAUAGUUUGCCUGAAAUAGGGAGUGUAACAAACUCAAACUUGGUAAGAUUUGACAUUAUUUGAAAACUAUAUUUGAAAUAAUUUAAUUGGAAUAAUAUUUCAAUUUACCAAAAUGAAUUAUAAAUAAAUGAAUAAAAUUAUCUAACAAUAUUUUAUCAGGUUAAUAUUCAUUAAUAAAAACAUAACGAUUUAAGAUUUUGUUAUAUUUUAUCUCUAAAGGAUUAUUAUAACUAUGGUAAAAAAAAUGCAUGAACAUCAUGUAGUAUUAACAAAAUAAAAAUUACGAAUUGAUAGCUUACAUAGCUUUUGGCUAUGGAUUAUUUUUAUCAUAACAAAAAUGUGUAAAUUUGUAUAUAUCUUUAGGCUAUGAAAUAUUCAUUAUUUAACUUCUAACUAUACAAUUUUGUUUUGUGUAACAUUUGGUUAUAUCAUUAUAAUUAAAAGAAAUUAGAAAUUACGUGUAAGUCAUUCUUUAUAUUUUUAUAACUUUAUAAUUUCUCAUAUAACCUUUGGCUAUACAAUUGUACAUAUUUUACAUAUUUUUUUAUAACUUCUAGUUGUGAUUUUUUUUCAUAAUUUUUGUCUAUAAAAAAAAUAUUUUCAAGUUUCUUCAUCGAAAAAAGGAUAAAUUAAAUAGAAAAUAAUACAAAAGUAGAAGUUUAUCACAUACCUUUUAGAGGAGAAAAAAGAUAUUUUAUGAGAAUAAGUUUGUCCUUUUAGUGUUUGAAUCUUAUACAAAAACUUAUAAUAAGAGUUUUCUUUUGGAGAGACUAGAAUUAGAGAAGAGAUAGAGUUCUAAAAUAACUUUGAGGUAUCCAUUUCAUUGACCCAAGUUUCCUAUUUAUAAGAGUUUGAAAAAACUAGGAUUAAUUAUAAUAUUUAAUUCUUUAUGGGGAAAAAGUAAAAAAUAAAAAAGGCUUUUAAUCAUUAAUUAAGAGUACUUGCUUAAAUACAAAAUUUCACAAAAAUUUAAACUAAAUUCCUUUAAAAAAGAAUAGAUAACUUGUUUUAAAAAAUAGUUAAACUAUGUUAAUUUUAUAUAAUUUGAGUGAGAAAUAAAUUUAUUAUAAAUUGACAAAGUUGUCAUUCACAAAAAGCAUCAAAUAUAUUUGAUUUUUUUUUUCAUUUUCAUUUUUCAUUUUUUUAAGGAAAAAUCAGAUUUAAAUUUUUUUCAUAAAUUGAUAGCUAAAAGAUAAAUUUACAAAAUUUCAAAUCCCCACAUGUUUCCAUUAUUUUUACCCCAUAAAUUAUCCCAUCCUUAAUAAGAUUGAAUUUUGCAAAUUAUUAUUGAUUACUCAUUCAAAAAUAAAAAUAAAUUACACUAAAAAUCAUAAAAUUUAAAUUAGAAAAAUAUUUAAUAUAAAUUUUAAAAAUUCAGCUUUAUAAAAAAUAAAAAUAAUUAUCAAUUCUAAUAAGAUUUUUUUAAUCAAAAUUCUAAAGCAUAAUUCACAUUCAUCUAAAUAUUUAUUAGAAUUAAUAAUUUUUAAAAAUAUAAAUUAAAAUUUGAUACCCCUUCGGAGAUAAAAUUCCAAAAAUCAAUGAAUUAAUUUAGAAAAGAAUACAUAUUUCAAUCUCAAAUCUUCAAAUCUAAACAUAUACUAACUUAGAAAAGUUCUAAUAGUUUCUAACAAGUCUAAGUGGGUAUUUGGUAAAUCAAUUUAAUAACUUAAUUCAAGUUAUUAAAUAAAUUAAAUAUAGUUGGUAAAAUAAUUUAAUGGUAUGACUUAAAGUAAAAAACAACUUUAAGUAAUAAGUAAAAAUAAUUAAUUUAUUCUUAAAUUCAUGUUUUCAUUUUAUCUUUUUACCCUCAUUUAUCUUAGUUCCACGAUUUAUUUUGCUAUUAUACAACUUCCAUCAUUACUUGAUCUCAUUUACCCUCAUUAUAAUUUAUGGGGGUAAGUAUAUUAAUUUGAUGAUUUAGAAUAAAUUUUAAAUUAAUUUUAUUAAAAAAUCUUAAUAUUUAAAGUAAAAAUUAAGUAAUAAGUUUUAAGUCAAUAACUUCAAUAUAAUUUUACUUAAAAUCAACUUAAGUCAUUGAGUAAUAAUUAUUGAGUUUUACCAAACACCCCAUAAUUAUACUUAUUAUCAUACUACCAAUUUCUUAUCAAUUACAUAAUUAUUUAUUAUAAAAUUUUAAUAUGUUAAUGAAUUAUGAUAUUUAAAUAUUUAAAAAUAUGUUGAUUGCAAACUAAUUUAACAAGAAAUAAAAUAAUAUUAUUUUGUAAAUAUUUUUGUAAUGUAAAAGAUAAGUAAUUUAAUAUUUUUUAACAUUUACUAAUAAUUAAAAUAUAAAAAAUUUAAAUAUUUAACAAUACUUAAUUUAUUCAAAUUUAAAACAAAUUUAGAUCUUAGAUAAAAAUACAAUCACCACUGAAAUUUUAAAUAUUUAAAAUACACAUAAAGUUUAAAUAUUUAUUUAAUUUCAGGAAUCUAAGAACUAAGGAAGGGACCAAUAGUGACUUGUCGAUCUAAAAGUAUGCAAGUUCUAUUUUCUUUUCCCUACAAUAUCAUUUUUUUCCUUGCAACAUCAUUUUUGUGGUGGAAAUUAUGCGGAGGACCAGUGUACUUAAUUGACAGGGCUGGCGAAAGCGAUGACGUGGAAUGAUCAAAGCAAUGAGAUGUCGUGGAAGCAACCAACUAUCGGGACGCUUCUAUAUUUUACCAUGCCAUAACAAAAGUUUCCAUAAUUCGCAAGUUCUGGAGAGAUACGAAACCGAGAUAGAAUAUAAUUUAGAAAGGAAAAUGAAAAUGAAAGCUGAGAUAAGGAAUGAGCAUCACCACCUCCUAGAAGUAUCCAAGGGUUUAACCCACUCUCUGAAAUUUGCUAUAAAUACUCAGCAAUUUCCCGUGUUGUUCAUCAAUACUUAAAAGAGUUUGAAUUUAUCAAUCACAUUAGUAGCAAUGGCAGACGAGAUUAUCGUGUUGGAUUUCCGGCCUAGCAUGUUUGGUAUGAGGGUCAGAGUUGCCCUGGCAGAGAAGGGUCUCAAGUAUGAAUAUAGAGAGGAGGACCUGUGGAACAAGAGCCCUUUGCUUCUUGAGAUGAACCCAGUUCAUAAGAAAAUCCCAGUUCUGAUCCACAAUGGAAAGCCCAUUUGUGAGUCUCUGAUAAUAGUUCAGUGUAUUGAUGAGGUUUGGUACGAUAAAUCUCUGCUUUUGCCCAGUGACCCAUACUAGAGAGCUCAGGCCAGGUUCUGGGCGGACUACAUAGACAAGAAGGUAUGCCUUUGCUGUUGAUUUAAAGCAUUCUUUUCCAUUGAUUCAUGGCGAUUGACUCAGAUUUUGAUUAUGGUGAGGGAUUUGUCCAAAAUGCUGGGUUUCUUCACACGUUCCCUUCUGAUAUUGAGUUUUGUGGGCUUUGGGGUUCCAAACUAGAACUUUUACUGAUUCUCCUUGCUGUUUGUUCAACAAGACUAUACUCUGCAUUUCUGAUAUGGGUUUAAAUUUCUUGUUUAUGUUGAAUACGAAUUCUGUUCGUUCCAUCAGGAAAAACAGAUCUCAAGAAUACCUUUUUUCCCCAAGCAAGGCGAAUACAUAAACCAGAUAUUUAAAGAAAGGUGUUUGGUUUUUUGUUAUCUUGCUGUUCAACAUCUUGCACAACAGUUGUUUUAAUAUAUGUUCUGUUUCUUUGAUCUCUUUCUUCUCAUUUUCUGAAACCCAAUUUGAGGGGAAAAACUUCAGCAAAUGAUACAUUCUUUCAGCUGAUUCUGAUCUUUUUUCUUCCACCGGCACUUCAUUUUAUUCUUAGCAAAUGAUAUUUCUAUGCGGAAGAGUCCUUAAUAAACUUGUCCAACUUUACAGAAUUUGAAACUUGAUGAAAUUCUCCAAAAAAAAUAAUCCUUCUCUCUUUGACUCCAUUAUUUUCCACAGCUCUAUGAACUUGGAAGGAAGAUAUGGUCAACCAAAGGAGAAGAGCAGGAAACAGCCAAGAAGGAAUUCAUAGAGUGCCUUAAGCUUUUGGAAGGAGAGCUUGGAGAGAAGCCUUACUUCGGUGGUGAAAAAAUUGGGUUUGUAGAUGUGGCUCUGGUGACCUUCUCUUGCUGGUUUUAUGCAUACGAGACCUUUGGCAACUUCAGCAUAGAGGCGGAGUGCCCCAAGUUGAUCGCUUGGACCAAGAGGUGCAUGGAAAGGGAGAGCGUGUCGUCUUCUCUUGCAGACCCCCACAAGGUCCAUGGCUUUGUCGUGGUGUUGAGAAAGAAGUUUGGUAUAGAGUAGAAGGGGCACAUGGGUCCUCUCUCGAAGACCCCGCAAGGUCCAUGACUUUGUCACGUGGAUGAGAAAGAAGUUUGGUAUUGAAUAAAAGGGAAAUAUCACGGUCUAUGCUCUAUUGAGUAGUGUUGUAUUGGUAAUGUAAGAGGAGUGUUUGCUUAAGUUUGCUAAGUGAUAUGGGUUUGCUGAGCUAUGUUGUUGGAAAUAAAUGUUUUGAAUUUGUUUUGGACUAGAGACGUGUUCCUGUAUUAAAGAAAUAAAAGUCUUUGACUACAUUUCCAUCGUGUCCACAUGAACAACUAUUAAGACAAAUUGGUUAAGACAUGCCCUAGAUAGAAAUAGAUAGAAGUGAGUCAUGAAAUGCACAUAUCUAACCUGCUCUUAUUACCAUAUUUUUUUUUUUUUAAAAAAAACUUUGAUAUGAGAAGUCAAAGAGCAUGUCGUUGUUGAUUUUUUUUUCUUUUUCACAAGAAUAUAUAUAUAUCUUCCAUAAAAUUAUCUUCAUGAAAAUUUUCUAUUUUCAAUUUUUUUUCUCUAUUCCAUUUUCUCAUAUUUAUUGAUUUUAAUUAUUUAUAGAUGUUUUAAAUAUAAAAUAAUAAUAUAAAAUAAAUAAUUAAUAAGAAAAAUUUUAAUAUAACAAUAAAUAAAUAAAAUGUUGAAAGUAAUAUUAUGGUAGGAAGGAUGUAUCACUCUUUUUUGGUUUAAACUAAGAUAUGUUACCAUCAUUUAUGUGCUAGAUGUCUUAUUAAUGGUGAAAUAACGUGAAUUCAAAGGGUGUUAAUGUAACAUUGAUCAACACAACCCUUGAAAAAAUGAAUACCACUCUUUUAUAAAUAAAAAACACCACUAAAUUGUAUUAAAAGUAUCAUUGUAGUGUGAAUGUUGUACUAUUCUUCUUUGGUUUAAGGUAUGUUUCCAUUUGUUAUGUGCUCAACGUAUUAGGUAAUGAUGAAAUAACGUGAAAUGAGUGAAUGUUAUUAUGCAACAACACCGAUCAACACAACCCUUAGAAAAAGAGGGUACCACUCAUUUAUGAAAAAUCUACUAUGUUAAAAGUACUACUAUGGUGGGAAGAAUGUAUCACUUGUCUUUAAGUUCUACCAUGGUAGGAAAAAUGUAUCACUCUUCUUUGGUUUACGGCGAGGUUUGUUACUAUUCAUUACAUGCUCAACGUCAUAUGUGAUGAGGAAAUAAUGUGAAUUGAGAUGGUGUUAUUUCACUAUAACACUGAUCAACACAAAUCCUUGGAAAAAAGGGUACUACUCUGUAGACAUAAAAAAAAUUAGUGGAUUAAAUUACCACUAAUUUGGUCUUCAAAAUGAAUAAAAAAAAAAAUAUAUAUCCUCUUAUGGAUAAGUUUCCUUAAUCUCCAACUAUAAAAAGGAUAAUAAUAAUAAUAAUAAGAAAAUUAUUAUUAUUAUUAUUAUUAUUAUUAUCUUGUUGAUAAAACCUCUUGGGAGAAGAAAAUUUGCUAAAAUCAAGGAACUAAAUCCCUUGAAUUAAGCAACUAAACUCCGAGAAUUUGAAAUUCAAAUUCCAUAUCUUCACCUAUAAAUAGAGGUGUCUUCUUUCAAGAAAGGAGAUGAAGAAAUUGAGAAAUAAAAAAAAAAUUCAGAAAGGAAAAUCCUAAGGAGAAAAUCCAAAGGCAAUUUUGUACAGGAAAAAAAGGUUUCAUAACAAAAGAAAAAGUUUCAUCAAAUUUCUCUGCAAGUUUGGUAAAUGGUAGAACUGCUAAACGCAUUCUUUGCCAUUUAACGAGUUCAUUCGGGAAUAAGCCACUUGUGACCCUCGAUUGAUCUUUGAAAUCAAGAAAACGUCAUCGUCGUCUUCCAAAGUGUGAUUAAGGCAAAAGAAUUAGGGGGGAAAAUUAUUUUGGAAAGAAUAUUAUUUUGAGAUUUUACCCACAAUAUUUUCAAUUUUAAUAAAUGUUUUGUUCGCAUUAUUUUCCUAUUUAUUUUGUUAAUUUGGUAGGACCAUUUAUGAAAUUUGUGGGUACAAAUUUCUAGCACGCCCAGCGAGACUUCUUUGCCUCUCGUCUCUUUUUAGAAGAUUGAUCUCUACUUCAUUGAUGACACCCAAAAGAACUCAAGUUGUGCAUGUAAACAAGGGCAAUGACAAGAUCAUCAUUGCACAAUCAACACAUGACGCCGCUAUGGGCCCCAUGACUCAUAGCAAAGCAAAAUCAACAUCUUCACUCUCAACAAAACAAAUAAGUGAGUUUGCUUGUUUGCUAAAAUCGGUAAGAACGUGUGAUGAGCACCAGCCACUCAUCACAUUGGUCUCUCUAGGGGCAAAGAGCCAUAGUCCUCGUAGUAGGGGAAAACUCACUUCAACACUACAGGACUUAGGAUAAAUCUCCUAGCUCUGUUAUCGAUUCUAACUCUAGCACCGGCUCAUACUCCGAGUCGCCAGCUGGAAUGUCAAAGGAGGAAAACUACUCCAAUCGUUUCGACUCUUUUACUUCUCCCUUCUCGAUGACUAUGCUGGUAAUGGCAACUGGCACUACAUUUGUAGAGGAACAAUUAGUAGAGAUGGCUCAUGGCAUCGCCAAACUCACCAAAAUGGUUGAGGAGAAGGAUAUGCAAAUAGCCUCCCUCAUAAAUAAGGUUGAGGCACAAGUACAAAAUAUGGGUGAGUCAAGUCAAGGACUCAACCACUUUCUGAAUGUUGCAUCUCUUCUCGAUGAUGCACCACAUGCGUAUAGGACAAUCCAAGUUGAGAGACAAAUGGCGGAAUCUGCCUCAAUGGCAUCAUUAUCUAUCCAACAACUUCAGUACAUGAUAACUAACACCAUUAGAGUGCAGUACAGUGGACCCUUACAGAGUACGCUCAUGUACUCAAAACGUUACACUAAGAGGAUUGAUAACCUACGUAUGCCUGUGGGUUAUCAACCUCCAAAAUUUCAAUCAUUUGCAAAAUUUCAAUCAUUUGAUUGGAAGGGAAAUCCAAAACAAUAUAUUGCCCAUUUCAUUGAAACUUGUAACAAUGCAGGUACAGAUGGUGACUUAUUAGUUAAACAAUUCGUCCGUUUUAUUCGAAGGAAUGCUUUCGAUUGGUACAUAGACCUUACACUUAAGUGUAUCGAUAAUUGAGACCAAAUGGAAUGUGAAUUCCUCAAUAGUUUCUAUAACACCCGACGAACUGUAAGCAUGAUGGAACUUACUAACACUAAGCAAUGGAAAGACAAGCCGAUUAUAAACUAUAUCAAUUAUUGACAUUCCUUAAGCCUUGACUACAAAGAUAGAUUAUCUGAGGUAUUGACCAUGGAAAUGUGCAUACAAGGAAUGCAUUGGGGUCUCCUAUACAUUCUCUAAGGGAUACAACCUCAUACAUUUGAAGAAUUAGCUACCAAAGCACAUGACAUAGAGCUCAACAUAGACAACCAUGGUUCUAAGAAGGACCUUACCAUUGAUCGAUAAAGAGAAAGACAUGAUGGGAAAAUGAGUGACAAGACCUCAAAGAAACCUAUUCAGGAGUCAAUGACAAUAAAUAUAACUCUUGUCAAAAUCUCAGCAAGAGAUAAAAAAAAGGAAGUAAAAGAGGUCAGACUAACCCAGGAAAAUAAGAUGUGUCAAUUCAUCUUGAAGGAAUUAGAGGAGAAGAAGUAUCCUUUUCCUGACUUUGAUGUGCCUAACAUGUUGGAAGACUUGCUCCAAAAAAAGGUUAUUAAGUUACUUGAGUGUAAGCAUCCAAAAAGAAUGGGUCGUGUUAAUGAUCCAAUCUACUAUCAUUACCAUCGAAUUGUUAGUCAUCCUAUGGAGAAAUGUUUCAUUUUAAAAGAUCUCAUAAUGAAACUUGCAAAGCAAAGAAGAAUUCAUUUAGAUCUGGAUGAAGUAGUAGAGUCAAAUCAUGCUAUAGUCACAUUUGAGUCAUUUGAUCCUGUUCCAUUACAUGUUCCACUUAAGAAACUAGGGACAUGUGGCAAUACUAUUCAAUGUGAGUCACCAAAACCAAAGCAAACAUAAGUGUCAUGUUAGGAUAGCCUUCUUCGCCUUUGCUCUGAUAAUAAAUCAAUGUCAUAUGACGAAGAAGGUUGGAUAUUGGUGACACGAAGAAGACUUUGCAAGAAGCAAGGGUCGCAUUCAUACCCUAACCUUCUUAGGAGGGAAUGACAUGAGUGGAAUACUCACCAACAUUUAAAGAAGAAAGAAAAAAAGAAUCUUAAAAGAAAACAAGCGAUUGUACAAAUAGACGACUUUUUGGUCCAGAAACUCAUCACCCCUAUCACCCUAGAGAAAUACUUCCCUCUAGGGUUCUUUGAUAAAAGGGUGGCAGUAUCAACUCAUAUGGUCUCUUGCUAAGAGACUUCAAAAGAAGAGGGGUUAAGUGAAGAUGAGGAAAACAUUCUUGGUGUUGAGUCAAGAAAAACUAAGGAAGAAGAGGGGGUUGUAGCAAGCCUACAACACCUACUCUCACUAUUUAGUAGCCACGAAAUGCUACAACUACCUAAUGAGAUACAAAAUGUGUUGAUUCAAGUACUUAAGGAUCCAACACUCUAUGCCACCAAAAUAAAGGGGGCAAAAAGACUUGAGGAUGAAAGCCACAAUUGUGCCAAAUGUUGUGCAGCCAUCAUUUUUACUAACGAAGACCUUCAGUUAGGGUCAAAACCACAUAAUCGACCCCUGUUUGUUACUAGGUACAUACGGGAACAAAAUAUCACUUGCAUUUUAAUUGAUGAAGGGUUUGGAAUAAAUAUCAUGCCUAAAGCAACAAUGAAAUGACUCAGGAUUGCUACAAAAGAACUAACUCAGAGUCGCCUAAUGAUCUAAGGCUUUAAUCAAGGGGGACAACGAGCUAUUGGUAUGAUUCACCUAGAGCUUGUUACAGGUGAAUUGAGUUCGAACACAUUGUUUCAUGUAAUCAUUGCAAAACAUUUUACAACUUAUUACUCGAGCGACCAUGACUUCAUGAGAAUGGGGUAAUUCUUUCGACACUAUACUAGUGUUUCAAAUUCUAUAGAGGAGGGGUAAAGGUAGUAUAGACUGAUACUAAGCCAUUUACAGAAGUCGAGUCUUAUUUUGUUGAUGCUAAAUUUUACAUAGAAAAUGAUGUUAUGCAGGAAGUCCUUCUUGCGAUUAUUCUCUCCACUGGGAAUGCUAAACUUAAGGAAAAAGUUGAGCUAUGUAAGUUGACAUCAGCAGGGAAAUUUCAUAACAAAUGAUGACUCAAAUAAAAAAAAAAGAGAAAUUUUCAAAAAAAUUGACAUUGGACUUGACAAUUCUCACUACUUUCCUAGUUUUUAGGUACAUCCCAAUAUCUCGACGAAGUGAGGGUCAACCAUUUUUCAUAGAAGACAAAAACAAAGUACAACCCUGAGGAUUGGAAAAUGGGGACCUUUAAGUCUUGAAAGAAGAUACGACCAUUCCUCUUCCAAACUUACAACUUAUCUCUAGGGAUGAAACACAAAAAUCCAACAAAACCUCAAGAGAUCAAACAAAGCAAGAAUUCUUUCCUGGUAAAAGAAUAAAUGAGGAGUUCAACCCUAAGACUUACAAGUUAUUAGCCAAGGCAAGGUAUUACUUCACUUCGUCAUCACGAUUAGGAGAACUUAGCCUCGAGACUACAGGUGAAAAGAUGCAUGACUUUAACGAAACUCAAAAAAAGUUGAAACAACAAGGGUAUGCAGUCAAACCUUCUAGUGCAGGUUUAGGGUUUGUACCUUUUGAGCCUAUCAAAAUUUUAGUUAAGACUAAGAAGACUAAGGCAAGUACACAACAUAUCAUUGUAGAAGACAUGGAGGAGAGUAGUGGGUCUAACUCUCCUUCUCGAAUUUCAAUAUUUGAUCGGAUUGAAGCUCUAAUUACAUGAGCUUCAGUGUUCACUAGGUUGGGCGAUUUUAACCAAGUAUAAUGUAAUUUAGCACAUAUUCCACAAAGGUCAAUACAACGAAGGAUUAAUACUCUACCCAAAAGUCACGACGACAAAAUCCCAAUAAGAAGUAGUGUAGUGAACUAAAUAAGAAUGCAAAAAUAAGAAGUUUAAUCCCAUCAAGGAUGAAACACCAUUCAACUUGGGAAAUUUGUACUAAUGGCUAGUUAAAAUUAAAAUGACAUACCAUCGUGAUCACCAAGCAGUCGGACGAGGGAUGCCCUAAAGAUGUUAAAUAAAGUUUGACACACAGUAACUACCAUAUUACAGUAGAAGUUGACUCUAAUUCAGAGUUUUUAGAAGAUGAACUAUGAGAAGCUCCUCAAGUAUUUGAGGACGGGGGGCAGGCCACUGUAGAUGAGUUAAAAGAGCUCAAUUUAGGUACAAAUGAGGACCCAAGGCCAAUUUAUGUAAGUAUGCUUUUAAGUCCUUCUGAAGAGAAAAGUUAUUUUGAAUUGUUACUCAAUUAUAAAGAUGUCUUUGCAUGGUCGUACAAAGAAAUGUCAGGUCUUGAUCCAAAAGUUGUAGUACAUUAACUCACGGUGAAACAUGGUGUCCGAUUGAUUAAGCAAGCCCAAAGACGAUUUUGACCAGAACUUGUUUCGCAAAUAGAAACGAAAAUUUUCAAAUUGAUUGAAGUUGGUUUUAUUAAGGAGGUAAAGUACCCGACAUGGAUUGCGAACAUUGUUCCAGUGAAGAAAAAGAAUGGGUAGAUCCGUGUCUGUGUAAAUUUUAGAGAUUUAAACAAUGCUUGCCCAAAAGAUGACUUCCCAUUACUAAUUAUUAAGCUUAUGGUUGAUGCAACUACAGGUCAUGGAACUUUAUCCUUCAUGGAUGGAUCAUUGGGGUAUAACCAAAUACAAAUGGUGCCAGGGGAUGAAGAACUUACUGCAUUUUGUACUCUAAAGGGUAUUUACUGUUACAAAGUGAUGCCUUUAAGACUAAAUAAUGCAGAUGCAACGUAUCAACAUGCCAUGCAGAAAAUAUUUGAUGACAUGCUUCAUAAGAAUGUCGAGUGCUAUGUUGAUGAACUGGUGGUCAAGUCUAAGAAGAGAGAAGACCACCUGCAAGAUCUUCGUAUGGUGUUUGACAGGUUAAGAAGGUACCAACUUAUGAACCUACUCAAAUGUGCUUUUGGUGUUACUUCUAGUAAGUUUCUAUUUUAUUGUUCGACACCGUGGCAUUGAAGUGGAUCAAUCUAAGAUCGCAACCAUUCGAGCUAUGCCAGAGCUGAGGAAUCUUUAAGAACUUAGAAGUCUUCAAGGACGUCUUACUUUUAUUCGACGAUUUAUUUCAAAUCUUGUAGGACGAUGUCAAUCCUUCAACCAACUUAUGAAGAAAGAUGUCCCAUUUGUUUGGGACAAAGCUUGUCAUAAUCCCUUUGAGAGAAUAAAAAAGUAUUUGGCUAAUCCACCAAUCUUAGGUGCUCUUAUGGCAGGGAAGCCAUUGAUACUCUACAUUGCCGCACAAAAAUGCUCUCUUGGAGCAUUGUUUGCACAACAAAACGAGGAGAACAAAGAAAAUACAUUGUAUUACUUAAGUCAAACUCUAAUGGGAUCAGAACUAAAUUACUCCCUAAUAGAGAAAACUUGUCUUGCUUUAAUCUUCUCGACAAAAAAGCUAAUACAUUACAUGCAGGCAUACACAGUACACUUAAUAGCACACGUUGAUCCCAUUAAGUAUGUGCUAUCAAAGCCAGUUAUUUCAAGACGAUUAGCAAGAUGGGGGUUGUUACUCACUGAGUAUGAAAUAAUCUACAUUCCUUAAAAGGUAAUCAAAGGACAACGCAGACUUCUUGGCAGAUCAUCCUAUCCUUGCAACAUGAAAAAUUUUAGAUGACUUCCCCGAUGAGGAGAUCUUUUAUGUUGAUGUUUUUCCUUCGUGAAUGAUGUUCAGGUCAGCACGUUAUGAUGGAACAGGUGCAGAUGUUGUAUUUGUCUCACAACAAAGAUAGAUACUACCAUAUUCAUUUGUUCUUAGUGAGAGAUGCUCUAACAACGUUGCUAAAUACCAAGCCUUAAUUAUUGAACUACAAAUAGCGAUUGAAAUGAAAAUCACAAGCUUAGAGAUAUGUGGGGAUUCUAAGUUGGUAAUCAAUCAACUUCUAGCCUUGUAUAAGGUUAAAAGUGAUGACUUAGUUCCUUACUUCCAAUAUGCUACCCAACUGAUGGAAAAGUUUGAGCGAACCUCUUUAGUUCAUAUUCCAUGAAAGAAAACUAAAUGGCAGAUGCUCUAGCUAAUCUAGUUGCAAGUUUGACACUGCUUAAGGACGAGACUAUACACAUCACUCUUUGCCAUAAGUGGGUACUGCCGCCAUUGCCACUAUUACAACAAGAAGAAGUAAACGCUACAUCGGUAUUUACUAUUGACAACGAAGAUUGGCGACAACCAUUAAUUGACUACUUAGAGCAUGUGAAGUUACUUGAUGAACUAAGGCAUUGAACAUAAAUACGACAUUGAGCUCCAUACUUCAUUUACUACAAAGAAACACUUUAUCGAUGCUCAUUCCAUGGAGUACUUCUUCGAUGCCUAGAAGGAGAAGAGACAAAUCAAGCAAUUGAAGAAGCUCAUUCUGAGAUCUAUAGGGCUCACCAAUCAGGGCCAAAACUUCAUUUUCGAAUCAAAAGGAUGGGAUACUAUUGGCCAACUAUGGUUAAGGAUUGUAUGGAAUAUGAAAAGAAGUGUCAAUCAUGCCAAUUCCACUCAAAUUUUAUACACAACCCCUUGAGCCACUCCAUCCUACAAUUGCGUCAUUGUAGACCCUCAAUUUUGUCCCUUUAGCACAUGUCUUUAAGUUCGUUUUCAGUGCUUCAAAAUAGUUCCUUGGUGGCCCAUGGCUACUCAUACCACUUACCUUUUUCUGAGUCACCUCGGAGAUUUUGGUGGAGGAAUUAUUUGAUCCUUUAUUGUGACCCUUGGCAGCCCUAACUUAGACUUAGACUUUUCUUGUUUUUUUUUUUUUUUUUUUAGGAUAGCUUUUAGAUACAUUUGGCCCAUUUGGACAUUUUUAGCGUGACUUGUAUGACUUGCAUGGUUACAUGGCUUUUGGGCUCGACUUUUUGUUUAUUGGUUUAUUUUUAUUUUAUUUCAUUUUAUUUAUUUUUACCGUUUCCUAAUUUAUUUACUUGCUUAUUUAUUCAUUCAAUGAUUUAACUUCAAGAUUUUCAUGUUUUUGCAAGGAAACUUACCAUUGGAGUUUAAGGAAGGUGGGACUCUCCUUGGAAGGUUUUGGAGGGGAAUUUGAAAUUGAGAAGAUUGCUUUUGAUUGGAAGAUUUAAAAAAAGGAAGAAAAGAAGAAAGGAAAUAGGAGAAUUUUCCUUUUUGGAAAGAAAUUUAGGUCUUGAGGGGUGAUAUAUAUAGGUGAGAAAAGGAAAAGAGGGGGAAGGAUUUUUUUUGGGGGUAGAGCACGCGUUGGAGGAUUGGGAGGAGAUUUGAGGAGGUUCUUUUUGGAGCAGCAGGCAUUGGAGGAAAAUUUGUCGGGGAAAAGAACAGAGGAAACGAAAAGAGCAAUUGCAACCAAGGCUGUCCAGGUAUGCACCUCGUUGCUUUUGGAAUUCUGACCUAUGUUUGAUUUUUUUCCACGUGAAUAUUUAAUGGUAUUGUUGAUUUUGUGUGGACGAAAGGGGCCACAAUUUGUUUUGUUGAGAUUGGUUGCUUGCUUGUUUGCCUUGUUUUGGUUUUGAUUGUCAUUGAUGUCUUCGGAAGCAUAUAACUCCAUGCCUGAAUGUGAUCAGAUUCUGUUCUUCAUUUAAAUCAUAUUCUGCAUUUGUCUCUCUGUUUUUAGCCCAUGGAUUAAUAUCUGAAGUGGGGGCUAUCCAUGUUUACUGAUCAACACCUUCUGCCAUUUCCUUCUCCAAGUUUUACUUCAAUUUUUUUUAUCUUUUAUCUGUAUUCUUUUCCUCGCAUGGUGUUCGAACCCUUGCUCUUGUAUUUGGGUAUACGUCGAGGAAUGAUGUAAGUGUCAAUAUGAGGGAUGAACUGUGCAACAAUCCCACUCAAAAAUAAUUGAUUCCGAGGUAUUGUAAUGGAUUGUGGAGACUGGAGGUAACGUCUUAUUGGCAUCAGAUUUGACCUUUCUAAUCCUAUGGGAUUCAAUGGCUCGUACAGAAUCGCAACUCCGGUGUUAUUUGCAAGCAUAGCUAAAUGGGUUAAAGCCAAGCUAAUAUUUUCUCUUGCUUCCGAAUGAUCGCGUUAUCAUUGGCCAACAUCACUUCUACCCUUUCCAAUUUUCCAAGCGCUUCUGACCGUAAGAAUAAUGGUCUCAGAGAAAGCAAUUUGACUUGUAAAACAGAGGGUUUCAGAGAGUGUCAGGAAGGUGAUUGAUUUGGGUAGCACUGAAAAAGGAUGGUUUGAACUAGGGUUUUGAAUCACGCCUUGAGUUAUUAGAGCAGUACGAAGAAUUGCGGGAUACCAGUGAUGGAUUGAUGGGUUCGGUGCCGAUUCUGGGUCGUAUUACAGAUUUGGGGCAGAGACGAUUGGUGAUGGCAAUGGGAUUAAUGCAAAUCAGGGAGAUGCUAUUUUUGAGGAAACGUAGUUCACGGGUUUUAGGAAUGUAGUUUCAGAAUUUUCAGAGAUUCUUGAUGUAUUGUGUUAGAAUAUUCUGAAACAGUUUCAGUAUACCGAAGGAUCCAAUACGGGCUUAGCAAUUACUAUAAGGAACAGAAAGAAGGAAAUUGAUGCGACUUCUGCGAACAAGUAAGUUCCAGAUACUUCGGUUGGAAGAACCUUCUCAAUAAGGUGAUCAAUCAGAGGAGGUAUCUUGCACAGUAGACCUUUCUGAUUCUUUAUGUUAUCAACUUGAUCUUGUCUCUUUUGUCGCAUAUGUCAAUUCUGCUCAUUUAUGGAAUUCAAAAUCCUCAUUGUUGUUGCCUGAAAAAGAAAUUACGGCAAUUGGAGAAGACAAUCAGUCUGACCCUUUUUGUUGAAAAUUUUGUUUUGGAAAGAUUUUCUAUUUAAACCUCCCUGCGGGUACUAUUCGAUGAAGUCUUUGGUAAUAAAUUUCAGGAUGCUAUUGAAUUGAUAAGUAUGUAGCCAGUUGCUUCUAAUUUAGCAGCCUGGAAGAGAAUGCGAGUUGUUGAAUUCAUGCACAUGCGAUAUGCUCUGGAAUCUGUGGUGCUUGCAGUUGGAGCUAUGGAAAGAAGUACAUCUUAUCAUCUACUAUUGGUGAGAGAUAUAUUGUUCUUGCAAUGAAGCACCCUGCUGUCUUCUUAGAUAGCAGGUACAUUGACAAUGGGGAUAAGGAUAAGAAGACUUAUACGUCUUCUUAGAAUAUGGAGGAUUCACUCAAUACAAAAGUCACUCUUUUCGUCUCUGGAAUUGAGAAACCACAGUUUAGAGGAUGGAAUUAAAGUUUUUAUGCCCCAAGUUGCAGUAGCAGUUCUGGUAAUACUCAAACUCAGAGCAUCACGGGGUAUGACAGGAUGGCUGGAAUGGUGAUUGGAAGGCUCCUGGCGUCCAGAGAUUCCCUAAGUAGCAGUGGAAGUUUACUACUGGUGUAGCCAUGAUUGAAGUUACAGCUCCAUGUGUAUAUGCUAUCAAAAGAAGAAGGAUACGAGACUCUGAUUUUCCAUACCACUGGAAUGGGUGGAAGGGCUAUGGAGGAUCUGAUCAGAAGGGGAUUUAUACGAUGUGUUCUGGACAUAACAACAACAGAGGUUGCUGAUUAUGUAGUUGGAGGUGUUAUGGCUUGUGACAAUUCCCACCUUGACGUCAUGAAGAUAAGAAAUUUGUCGGCUUUGUAGCAAACGAACUAAACGAAACAGCAUCAAAGGUAAUGUUGACCCGAAUGAUUAGGCUCAUAUUCAGAAAGACAGAAUUUGAUCCAGACUCGAUUUCCUCUGGUUCUGCUACAAAUAAAGAAGUUGAAUUUCUGGACUGCACAAGGACCUUUUAGUUCUGAUUUUUCUUUAGGUGCCAAUCUUACCACAAUGGAAGAUGUCCAGAAUAGUUUUAAUGCAACGCAACUUAGGCUUUGUGGAAGGUUAAGCAAUGUUGAUGGCUAUAUAAUGCCGAUCAUCUUCCCAAGUGUUAUUCUCUGUGGCUGAGUUGUUUUCUGAAGCUGAAACAUAAAGACCCUCUCAAUAAGGCCGCCUCUAUGAAUCUUGCUCAGCAUGCACUGAUCAGCAAUUUCUGGUGAGAUCUCAGCCAGUUCCAGCUGAUAAGCAGGUGAACCAGGCAGGAAGGACCAAUUGGCAAACACUCUUGGGCUUUCCUGGUGGGCAUGAAACCCAGAAUUGCAAUGGGGUAGUUCAGAAUCUGAAUCUAGUUCGACUUGGAGGUCUGAGUCAGACAUUAUAUAAUUAGGAUGGCAAAGAAGACUCCUUACCUACAGCGGCCCAAAUUUAUUAAGUCGUCCUUUGACACUAAAGAGAUCACCGGUUUGCCCUUGAUAAAUUAAUGUCAUCAUGAGCAGAUUUUGUUCCUAUUCUUUAGCUGAGAAUCAAAUGCAUCACACCAUCGAACAGUUGAAAUCUUUGAGUAGGAGCAGAGAAUGAUGCAGAACAGAGAAAACAAUGACCCAGGUCCAACAGGUCUCAUGAGGUUUGAUGGUGAGAUCCGUUCAGCAAUGUUGGGAAGCAACUGGAAAUAUGGGCCUCAUGCUGCUGCAACUCACUUAGACUACAUGGUUGAGUUUACAGUCACUGUGCCAAUUUUGAGUCUUGCUGGAACAAUGGAUAACUUACCAGCUGGUGAACCAUGGCUGCAGAAACUAAAAGCGGAUUGAGCAGGAUGCAACUACUCUCAUUCCAGGAAACAAAGAACUGAAACCACACGAGUAGGACCCUUUGAACAAAAAUGCUGGUAUCAAUACACAUCCUACGUGCCCAUCUAUUAUUCAAUCCAAUUCUGAAGUCCCAGUCAUGUCACCUAGAAAAAGCAAAGGAGAAAUUCAAAGGGAACCCUUGGGCUUGAAAGGAAAGGUUCUUAGUCUUGGAAAGGUUCAGAAAAGCCGGAAGGUGUAGAAAGAAUUCAAGCAGCCACAGAAGGCUUCCUCCAAGCUGAUAGUACCACCUAGCACAGGUUUCGGUACCUUAACCUAUGGAUAUAGUUUGCUCUUGAGAGCGUUCCAUACAUUCGAAACGGCAUCAAUAAGUCACUACUUUUGGAUCAGCACUUGGAACUGGAUCUUAGUACUGUCAUGCUUGGCUGUUGCUUUUGGUUUUAGAAACAUGAACUGCUUAGGUAACGCAUCUGGCUUGGCAGUUAUAAUUAUAAUGUCAGUCACCACCUGCCUAAUGUCUCUGGUUGCUGUACUGUGCCGACACCAGAAUGUCUCCUCUAUAAUUGGCUCCAUGUUCUUCAUUGGCGUAAUUGAAGCUUUCUAUUUCUCAGCAUGGAUCUCUAAGCCACUCCUGAGCAUGCGUGUAAGAAUGGAUAGCAGGGCAGAUUUUCAGGUUCCUGGUCAGAGUGGAAUAAUGGGACAGCCAAAUGAAGACGAAUUCCCCAUGAACUUCCAAAAAUAGACUUAAUGAUAAGAAGAGAGGUGAAAAAGAAUUCAGUGGCUAUUCGAGAUGACUUUUAUGGAUGAAUUCGGUAGAGAAUUGAAAAGAAUUCAAGUGGUUGCAUAUGUGGGUGAGAUUCAAUAGCGUUAACGGAUACUCUUGAUGGCUGAAAUUUAAAAGAAAUGAUAGACUACAUAAGUGAGGUGAUUGAAUUUUAUAAAUAUGAUUAUGGGUUUUGAAUUACAUCGAGAUCAGCACUUGUUGAGAUUAUCAUAUUUAUGCUGGUAACAUUGCAAUCAUAUACGUUUUCAUCCCAAGAGUUUGAUCAUGCGUCAAAAUAUCUAGAAGCAGAGCAAAUUGAAACCUUUUCAAAAUCAGCAGUGGACAGAUUCUGUCCUAAAACACUUGAAGUUGGAGCAUACUGAGGCAGUUUAGUCUUCUGAAAUCCAUACCUAGUUUCCUGAUGAUUCAAGUUCUUUAUUUGACUUUUCCUUUAUAGAGAAAGCUCCUAGUGGCAUUGACCAGCCAGGAAUUCACCAUAUGCUUCAUCAACAAUAAUGUGCAAUUCAGGAAAAACGAGGUUGGAUGGUCAGAAGAAGACUUUGAAACUAGUUCAGGAUCUCAAUCUAGUGAAUCUGAUUUCUCCAGUUUCAGUCCAGAUGAGCUUCUGCAGUUAAUUGGUGAUGCAUCAGUUAUGGGAAAGGUCCUUCAUCAACUAGCACUUCACCUUUAUAAGAAUCCAUCAUGAUUCUCAGCACUUGCUGUUGUCUAUUUUCUGACAUGUAUUAAGCAAAGAUUGGUCUGAAGAGAGAUAAUACAUCCUCUAUCUAGUACACAGAUUCAGACGCUGAAUUCCGUGAUUAUGUUAGUGAGGUCACGAGGGAAGUGUGUAGGCAUCACUAUGCAAAGUGCCUUGAAGUUGUAUCAAUUCGUUUGCUGGAUAAUCGCCCACAAAUUAGCAAAAAUCAUCUUUCAAAAUAUAUGAAGUAUCCUACGUUUAUAGGAGAGCAAUUGAUCAUUCAACACCAAAUUGUUAUCUUCAGGGAAAUGUUGAUAUGAUUGGAGGUGCAAUAGCAUUGACUUGAGAUAGUCAACAGUAUGUGAUCACAGAGUUAGGAUAUUACAACAAGAAGAGUCCAAUGGGCUUAAAUCUUUUUGACAGAAAUUCUCAUCUAUCUUGGACUUUAAGCUAGCGUCUGAUGAAAAACAUCAGAAUCUUCACCCUAUUCUAUGAUAGAUGCAUGCAUUGCAGUAUGCUCGAGAUCAUUGUAGGCCUUUAUCCGAGAAGAAACAGAAUAGAGUGAACCAGGUGUUGAAUAAAGCCCGUGAUGAUGCUGAAAGUAGUGCCUAGAAGAACUCGUUAGAAAGUAACAAAGGCAAUGUCCUCUUUCCUCUCCUCUGAUGUGCCUUCUCCUGUUUGGAGUAUACCAAUAAUUCGGAAACUGCACUCUUUAUCUGUGACUUUACUUGAUGGAAACAAAGGGCAAGAUGGGAAGCCUCACAAGGAAGAGAAGCCUCAAAGUCUAUAUGAGAAUUUAGAAGAUUCUUUUGCCACAAAGGCAGCAGAAGAAAUAUGCUUGCAACAGAAAGAACUUAGGGUAUUUGAAAUUUCUGGAUUGGUGCUGCUCAAUGAGAAUAUACAGAAAAUCAAUCCAAAUGAACCACUAAAAGAAGAAUGCACUACUCUAGGUGAAGUAUCAUGGUUAGAGAAUCACAGAAACGCGUCUGCAAUAAAACGCUCAGAUUCUCCAAUAGAAAGUGACAGAACCAUGAAGCUGCCAGUAGAGGUGCCUGAGGGAGCUGAGGAACCUGCAGAAGAGUAUGAAAACAACAAAGAACUGAUCAUAGAGAAAGAGAGAGACAUCAAGGAAUUUCCAGCCGUGUCCAUUGAAGUUGAAUAGGUUAAAUAGGAACGGCAUUCUGAGACAAUACUCGCUGAAAAUCCUAGAAUGACAGAUUCUGAAGUGCAGACUAAAAAUGUGAACCUAUAGGAUUGUGGAAGACUUCAGCAAAGACUCUAAAAGAUUUCCCAUCACAAAAGCAAUGGAAGCAGAGAUGCUACAGAAACAGAGUGGUAAAAGGAAAGUGGAUGUCUCUGGUUCGGUAUCUGAAAUAUCAAAAGAAAUUAAUAAGGAGGUCAUAGAAGAUGCCAGCACUUGCUCUAACAAUAUUGAUGCUGCAUCCGAAGAGGGGAAAACAGAAGAGUCAAGCUUGUAGGAAACUCAACUGAAUGACAAAUACAAAAAGAUCAUUAAGACUAGCUCAGAAGAUAAGACACUAUAAGCAAAUACCACAAAUGAAACUAGUCCACAGGCUGAAGAGGUUGACAGCAUGAAGCUUGAAGAAACUUUUGAAUUGAUGUCUCAACUUCCAGUUAAGGCAUGUGAGAACACAAACAAGGAGAGUGAAACAGUGGAAAGGUCGAUUGAUAAUGUGCUGAAGAAACCGAUUAAAUCUUCUGGUAUAGUAUCAGAAUCCCAAGAACAAUGUGCUGAAGAAACUGAUUAGACCCUUAAGCUCUUCUCUAGCAGGGUCUUUGAUAUCAAAUGCCUGUCAGAACCCCCAUUCAGUAAACUGCUUCAAUUUGAGCUCAGGAAUCCAAGGAAGACACGGAUAAGGGAAAGUUGAUUACGCCAGAAUCUGUAUUUCUCAAGAGCAACUCAAGUUUACUGGAACUCUUCACCCUUCAUUGGAAUUCAAUAAAACUUUGAACAACAGAGAGCCACAGAAAAGUACUAAAGGAGGGCAGAAUGUAUUUUGGGAUUCAACAUCAGCAGGAUAGUCUCAAAUCUUAUUCCCAGGCUCCACUCCAUCAUGGCAACCUUGCUAUACACACCCUCUCCUCUAUUUACUUUUGUGAUUGGGAACUUACUAUUUUAAGUUGAAUUUUUGAACCAUUGUUCAACUAAACAUUCCCAGCUUUGAAAAAUCCAUCUUAGGAGCAUCUAGGUAUAAAAUCCCAAUUUUAACAUGCUAUUUGCUGCCAUUUUCCUCCGGGCAUGCACUUUCACUAUUUUAUCCGAUUUUUAACUAUUUUCAUGAUUUUCUCGAUUUUCUCAAGCAUGAACAAACUUCAUGAUUCCAAACAAUGGAAUUAAUAGAAUAAAUUCAUGCAAAAGUAAUCAGGGCAUUGGGGGGAGGCCCGACAUUCAUAAUAUUCUCUUCAAUAGUGUCUUGUUUGAUAUUUGAUUGAUUGUGCUUCCUCUUUGUGGUAUAUAUGAGAUUAUUUUGAAUUAGUUGUUGAGUUAAUUUUGUUUCCCAUAGAGGAUUAUUAACUCGCUAAUCAGGUACGCUCUUUCUACCACCACACUUUCCAAAAUUUCAUGAAUAUGAGACAUAACCAUAUUUGAUGCCAUAAUUGAUUGCUUUGAUGCUUGUUGGAUCGUCUUUGAUGAAAAUACAUAUUAUGUGUCAUAUUUCCAAACUAAUCUCUCAUGUUUUGUGAUAGUGUUUGAGAAGCCGUUCAGGUACGCACUUCGACUCUCUCUUAUGGUUGGUUUUCUUAUUAGGCAUGCAAUAUUUGAAAUCACCUAGCCUACUCAGGUAUCCAUAAUUAACUGAUUAAUGGCCACGCUUCCCUUAACUUAGUCAGUAGAGACCUCUUUAGGGCUUAGAGGGGUGCUACCUCCUAGAGGUACCUUCCCAAUAAGUAACCUGAUCCCCGAACCAAGACUUGGGUUUUCAAAGACACGCUUUUCCAAAAAUUAUGGAGUCAUUUUUUUAGGGUUUUAUUUCUUGUUUUAUUUUCCCUUCAAAAAUAAAAAUAAAAUAAGUGGCGACUCCAACUUUUUCAAAAAUCAAUUUUUCACAAUAAAAAGCGAGUCUCGUCGAUCGAGUGGGGACGCACGUGAAAAAUGCGGGUCCACAGUCAUGGCCAUUUGAUGCAUGGGGACUUGACGUGGUCAGACCCAUUACUCUUAAAUCCUUUGUUGGACAUGCUUACAUAUUGCAGCAACAUAUUAUUUUUCUAAAUGGGCAAAAGUUGUUCCACUUAAAGAAGUGAAUAAAGAAAAUGUAGUGAACUUCAUUCGAAGUAAUAUUAUCUAUCGGUAUAGGGUACCAUGAUAUAUAAUCACUGACAAUGGGAAACCCUUCUAUAGCAAAUUGAUGAUCAAUCUUUGUGAGAGGUUUAGUUUCAAACAACACAAUUCAUCAAUGUACAAUGCACCGACCAAUGGUCUCACAGAAGCAUUCAACAAGACUCUUUGCAACUUAUUGAAGAAAAUUGUUGAUAAUUCAAAGAGGGAUUGACAUGAAUGAGUAGGAGAAGCACUUUAGGCAUAUCAAACAACAUAUCGAACGCCUACACAAGCAACCCUUUAUUCCCUUGUUUAUGGUGUAGAAGUUGUAUUGCCCCUUGAGCGUCAGAUCCUUUCAUUAAGGAUUUCUAUACAUGAAGGACUAACUAAUGAAGAUAAUGCCAAGUUACAUCUUCAAGAGUUAGAAGCACUAGACGAAAAGUGACUCGAAGCCCAACAACACUUAGAGUAUUAUCAAGCACACCUUUCAAAAGCUUUAAAAAAAAAAGGUUUGUCUUCGGUCUUUUCAAGUCGGUGAUCUAGUUCUUGCCAUUCGUAGACCCAUUAUCACCACACAUAAGACUAGGAGUAAAUUUACAUCAAAAUGGGAUGGACCUUAUGUGGUGCAAGAAGUCUACACCAAUGGUGCUUAUAAGAUCGUCACUGAAGACGGAUUAAGAAUUGGCCCUAUCAAUGGAAAAUUCUUAAAGCGUUAUUAUGCUUGAGUCACACUACACCCUUAGCUUGCAUGAGCAUAAAUUAUGUCUGGAGCACCAAAAAAAAAAUAAAAAAAUCCGCUAAGUCGAAAACCUAAAAGGACGCCUUAGGUAAAAAUUAGGACAUAUGCUCACAAGAUUAAAAUUUUCUUUUAGCCUUGGCAAAAGUUAGAGCAUGAAAAAAAAAGGUGCUGCAUUUGACUUGAUCCUCUCUCUUUGAAAGGUAUGUAAGCAACUUGGGGAAACCACCUAAGUUCACUCACUACCAAAAAAAAAAAAAAAGGUCUCAUUUUUAUUAAUAAAUAAAUCUGACUAACAAAUGCUAGACUUUAUUACAUCUUAAUAAAAAAAAAUGAAUGAAAGCAAAAAAAAAAAGGGAGCCAAAACUAAGUAAAAAGGUACAAUGAUCACAUCCACACCAAGCAUGCAAGCUCGUCACGUUGAGUCCUUAAGGCUUCUUGAAGUGUCUCUAAAGUUUUGACAUCAACAUCAGUAAGCACAAGGGUUUGGGCGAUAAUGACAUGUUAUUUCCUCAAACGAGAAACAUCAUUAUGUUUAUUGGCUAUAAUCUCAUCAAUCUCCAAGAUUAAGUUAUGAAUGUGCUCUUUUUGUUUACCUAGUUGCUUAAAUUCCUUCUUAAGUGCUUCCUAUUUAGCAUCGAGAGUAGCUAAGUCUACCUUUAAUGAUUGACGAUGGUUUUCCUAUAUACACUUAGAGUUUAAAGCAUCCACAAUCUGAGAUGCAAUAAUAGCUAAACGUUCGCUUUGUACUUCUAGAGAUAUAUUUAUAGAAUGGGUGCGUCACAUUGCAUUGAGGUGAUCUACACUUUCCAUGUACUUCUCAAUCUGAGACUUUAAUGGUGAAGGGUUCACUCCAAUCUUUGUGAUAACAUUGAAAAGCUCAUCAAUUUUUCCUCUUAAUAAUGGGAGACAUUUAUUUGGAAAUUUUAAUAAUCAUCACCUUAGUGCCUUCUCCUAUCAUAAGUGCUUCUUGGCGUUAGGCAUUAAGGAUGAUUUGUUUGACGUCGAAUGUGUGAAUGGAAGUAGAAGGAGCAACCACGGUAGGACAUGUAGAUUGUUGUUCAGUAAUUAAACCUAUAAAUGCUAAAAUUGUUAAUUCAUCAUAUGUUGUAUCUCUAAUUGUGGUCUUUUGACCUCGAGAUUCAAUCAGAACAUCACUUAAGAUGUUAGUAAUACCUUUAUCACCCAAAUAAGAAUGAGACAAAGGUAAUGGGAUGAUAGAGUGAUUAUCUUGUUGUAUGGUCAAGGUAAAGGGUGCUGACUCCCUAAUAGCAAUAGUACUUUCGAACUGAUCCUUAGGAGAGGACUCAUCCCCUUCAUUGACAAAUUGGUUGUCACCCGCCACCUAAGGCAAAUAAUUAUUUUUGUUAGUAUCAAUGCAAAAAAAAAAAAAAAAAAACCUUUUCACCAUCAAGUUCCAUCGCUUGAGUAGAAGUUAGGACGUCAGCAAAGAAGACAUUUACAUCAAGAUGAUAAGAGUUAGUCUCAUCAUAGUACAUAGGGUUGGGUCUAAUUUUUUUCCAUUUGAAGUAACAUUCACUUGUAUCUUCAAAGUUUUUGUUUGAUACAUAAAGACCCUGUGCAUUGUUAUGUUGCUUAAAAGUCUUGUGACAGUGAGUAUUACCACCGUUGAAAAUAGUUUCCUCAUGCUCUGAGUGUGUGGAGGUAUUAGUUUGAUGUCCACCCAUUGAGCGCUUAGAAGAAGCUCUUGAAUCAUCAGGUAAAUCAUCAAAAUCCUUCUCAACAUUGUCUCUAAUAUUCCCCUUAGUAGAAACACUUAAGUCAACCUUGCGCGUUCUACUCUCUAAAGAUCUAGAGGGUAUUUGCCAAGAAGAAUUAGGAGGGGGCUCCAUACAAGUAGUAGUAAGAAUUUCUUUAUCAGGAUUACGUACUCUGAUCCACCAAUCCGCAUAAGCCAAUCUGGUAUAGUAACUUUGGAGUAGGUACCAAGCCUAGUACAUGACUGCCAAUGUUGAUACACCGCCUUUAAAGUUCUAGUGUGAAAAAUCUCUAGCGAACUCUCCGGAAGGUCUUGAAGAUAUACAAACUGCCUAGAAAACCGAUGAGGAUAAUACAGUUGGAUUACCCAAUGAUUACCUUGUCGCAAAGAUAAAUAGUUAGAGUGAAGACUUAUGAGAUAAGAAGCUUUGGUAACACUAAUAGAUUCAUUAUCAGUCCAGUGCACAUGCCUCUUGUGGCGCAAUGCCAAGUGGUCUAGCUUUACGCCUUUGCAAGACAUUAUCAAAGCCUAAGCUUGCAAAUCAUCAAAACACUUAACAAAAAACUCGCCAGUGUAAUAAGUCAUCCGUGGGGGAUGGCUCCAAGAAGGAGAAAUGAAAUGGGUAUCGAAAUAUUCAUUUAACCAUCCGUAUAAGUAAUGAAUAGGGAAAAUAGAUGCAUUAGUCCCAGGCUUUGAAGAAUAAGUGAUUUUAUUUAAGCUGUUGUAAAUACUUCCUAACACCAAAACAACAAGGCUAAAUGUCUCACCUUGAGCCAUUUUACUAGCUACCUUGAAGACUUUAGGAUGAAUCAAAUUGACACCUCCCAAGGAAGAACGAACUUGUAUAACCAACAUGCUAAGAAAGCGCCUAAGUAUCCUUCACAUCUGCCUCAGCUAUGCCAAGGUUGUAAAAAAUUUCCAUCUCUGACUGAAUACGAGAUUUAAUAGGAUCAAUUUCCCCAGAGGGGUUAUGAGUCUCCUUAGGCCUUUACGCCUUAUUCCUUGUACUUUUAUUUGGAAGUUUUGCAUACUUCAUGGAGCCUUUAUACCAAAAUGACACCCAAGAGGCUAACUUGACUGAAGACUUCCCUUUCGUGUUAGAGCAAAUUCGAUGAUAUGCAAGGAAUAAGUUUUGACAACUUGGUGGGAGUGAGGGCUUUGUCACAUCAUUAGAUAACUCUUCCAUGCUCGGUACCAUCUCAUCAUAAAAAGAUCCAAUGAUGGGUAGUCCAACAAUAUGAUACAAGUCCCAAAGAGAGAUGGAAACCUCUCUAAUGGAAGUAUGCAAGGUGUUAGUGGUAGGACACCAACGUUCACAAAAGGCCCUAAUCACAGAGGCAUGACAAUCAUAGCUGAAUAAGGACGCAAAAAUAGCUUCAUAAAGCUUACAUCCUUUAAGAAAUGGUCCAUGCCGGUCCAAUACCUCCUCUACCCAUUCCCAAUAUCCUUCGAUAAAGAAAUAUUCCCUUAGUACUUUGAAUGAACUUCCCCAUUUAGCUUCUCCGUCAUGAACACAAGAACCAAACUAUCCAAAUUCAUCAUGAACUUUAGUAGUAGUUGGGUGAGAGGAAUUCAACAACAGAACAUCAGAAACAAGUUUCACCUUAUUGAGUUUUGAAUUGCCGAUAUUUGUAAGCUUGCAAGAUGCAACUCGGGACAAGGAAGAAAUGUGUAAUGGGUCCUUUGUCACUGGUACUGACAAAGAUUGAAGGUCAGUAAGUGACUUAUGCACUGACAAGGUAGUCCCCUCCUCAAAAUCUUCACUAUCAUCCUCAAGAAUAGUUACAAUCUUCUAUUUGAAACAUUUGAAGAACGCCAUCCUACAUAAAAAGGAAAAAGAAGGUAGAGAGAGAGAUAAAUAAAACAUGGGUAUAAGUUUUUAGAUACCACUAUGCAUUUAAGUCAGAUCAAUUCACAUGAGUGAAGACCUUAGCACUUAAGUCAUAUAAAGUGUUGAAAGUACAAUACCGCAUAGCAUCAGGGCCAUAACUUGUUUGCAUAGAUACCGAGUAUUAUUCUAGUUUUAAUUAAAUGUUAAAACUUGAACACAACUAUGCAUUCAAGUCAAGACAAUUUGCAUAGGUGAAGACUUUAGCACAUAAGUGUUGAAAAUACAACACCGCAUAACAUUAGGGCCAUAACUUGUCUACAUAGAUAACAAGUAUUAUUAUGGUUUUAAUUAAAUAUUAAAACUUGAACACCACUAUGCAUUCAAGUCAAUCCAAUUUGCAUGGGUGAAGACUUUAGCACAUAAGUGCUAAAAAUACGACACCGCUUCGCGUCAAGGCUACGAAUUGAUUACAUGAGGGUCAAACUUUAAAUAUUCAUAUGUUUUUUUAUUUUUUAUUUUUAUUUAUUUUUUAUUUUUUAUUUUAUGGAUAUUUAAGUUUAUUAAAAAUUUCCCUCAAGUACUAAGGUAAUUUAAAAAUAAAUAAAUAAAUAAAAUUAAAUUACCUGAAAUCAAAUUCGUCUCUACGAAUAAUGGAGGCUAACAUGUGUUCGAAAAAGGUGAAUCUUUUUCUUCCUUGACAAAAAAAAAAUGAAUAAAAAGAUCACGUGUCAACAUAUAUAUAUAUAUAUCCAUCCAUUUUUUCAGGAGAUCACGUGAAUGGAUUUUAUAUAUAUAUACAUAUAUUAAAUCCUCAUCCUUACAUCAAUAUAUAGAUAUAUAGCCUAGUGAUGACGUCUCCCAAGGCAACCAACAUUGAGGCUCUGUCCCCAUUGACUUCGACAUACACCCACCAAGCUCCAAAAUAUAUAUAUGCAUUUAAAAAAAAAAUACUUACAGGUUUGAAGAGGUGAAGACUUCUUACGGUAAUUCAAGUCAAGUUUCUUAAAAUUGGGUUGAAAAUCACCCAAAAAUUCAAAAAAAAUAAAAGAAUAUGAAAGGAUUCAAGUCGGGUUUCUCAAGUUGGGUCAAAGAACACUCAAAGAUCAAAAAAGCUCUUUGAAAAAGUUCAAGUCAAAUUUCUUAGCUAUUGUCCCUUUUAUAUAUAAAAAAAACGUAUAUGGGGAUGACAAAUUGGAAGAUGAUUGAAAGUGUAAAGUAAGAAGGAAAACAAAUUGGAAGAGGAUUCAAAGUGUAAAGCAAAAAAGGAAAACAAAGUGGAGUUUGGAAAAAAGUGGGAAAGAAAUAUUUUUUUUGGAAAAAAAAAAAACUUCAAGACUCACCCCAUCCACAUGACAAUGCAUAUAUGUGAUGCGUCUUGAAGUGGGGGUAUUUGUAGACAUAAAAAAAAUUAGUGGAUUAAAUUACCACUAAUUUUGUUUUCAAAAUGAAUAAAAAAAAUCCUCUUAUGGAUAAGUUUCUCUAAUCUCCAACUAUAGAAAGGAUAAUAAUAACAAUAAAAAAACUAUUAUUAUUAUUAUUAUUAUUAUUAUUAUUAUUAUUAUUAUCUUGUUGGUAAAACCUUCCAGGAUUUUUUUUUUCUAAAAUCAAGGAACUAAAUCCUUUAAAUUAAGCAACUAAACUCUGAGAAUUUGAAAUUCAAAUUUUAUAUCUUCACCUAUAAAUAGAGGUGUCUUUUUUCAAGAAAGGAGGGGAAGAAAUCGAGAAAAAAAAAUCCAGAAAGGAAAAUCUUAAGGAGGAAAUCCAAAGGAAACUUUGUAUGGGAAAAGGGGCUUCACAACAAAAGAAAAAGCUUCAUCAAAUUUCUCUGCAAGUUCGGUACAUGGUAGAACUGCUAAACACGCUCACCGCUAUUUAACGAGUUCAUUAAGGAAUAAGCCACUUGUGGCCCUCAAUUGAUCUUCGAAAUUAAGAAAAUGUCAUCGUUGUUUUCCAAAGUGUGAUCAAGAUGAAAGAAUCAGAGGGAUAAUAUUUUUUUGGAAAUAAUAUUAUUUUUGAGAUUGUACCCACAAUAUUUUUAAUUUUAAUAAAUAUUUUGUUUGCAUUAUUUUCCUAUUUGUUUUGCUAAUUUUGUAGGACCAUUUACGAAAUUUAUGUGUACAUACUCUUUUAUGAACAAGGUAGUGUAGAAAAAGUGUAACACUUUUUUUUUUAACUCAGGUAACUCAAGUAAUAUAUCAUUUCUACCAUAGUGAAUCCAUUCUUCUUCUUUAGCGUAUAAAAAGUGACUCCGUUCUUCUUUAGCACAUUAACUUGAAUACGCAACUCAAGUAAUAUAUCAUUUCUACCAUAGUACUUUUAGCAUUUUAGUGGUAUUUUUUUUCUCAUAAAAAUGUGUACCCUUUGAAUAAGCAACCUUUGAGGUGCACAACUUAAUGUUUUAAGAGGGUGCACUAUUUUUUCCUAGCGCAUUUGAAAUGUGUACAACUUCACUAUGCAAAAAAACAUUAUUUUUUAAUAAAAUUAAGAUCAAAUUAAUAUAAAUGAUUAAAUACAAUUUUUAUGAAAAAAAUAUAUUUUAUUUUUUAUUUAUAUAAAUAAAAAUAAAAAAUUUAAUAAAACAAAAUAUUAGAGCCACAACCAAUUUUCUAUCUUAUAUAAUUAAAAAUAUUAAACAUUUUAACCAAGAAGAAAAUUAAAAUUGUGAUCAAGUUACAUCCAUAAGCAAAAAGUUAAAAUAGUGAUUAUCGACUCUAACUUUCACAUAAAAAUUUAACAAUUUUUUAAAAAUAUAAACAAUAAAAUAAUAUGACAAUGUAAUAGGAUUAUAAAAUAAAUAGAUAUUUUAUUUAGGAGGAAUAUAGAAAAUCUUAUGUCCUAAGCUUCUAAAUUUGUUCAUAAUGAAUUUAUUUUUAUAUUAAAUUUGUUUUCAUUAAUUAUUUCUUAUAUAUUUUUAUUUUGUGUCUAGAAUAUCCAUAAAUAAUUGAAAUCGGUAAAUGUAAAAGAAGAAAUAAUGAAAAAAUAAAAUUAAAAAGAUUUCAUGAAGUCAACACAUUAGAAAAUAAGAACAGAAAGGUAGAGAUAUUACGAAGGAGAGGAAAAAGAAAAAAGAAAAAUCAUAUGACAUGGUUGUCAUAUUAAAGUAAAAAGAAAAAAAAAUAAAAUUUUGUAGUAAUUAACUGUGAAAGGAGAUCGAGGGUUACAGGGUAAUUUUAAAAUUUUGAUGAUUUCACUAUUGAAAUACAUGUUUCUAGAAUUAAUUUUUCCAAGAUGUAUGUACUUUAAAAUUUAAAAUUUAAAACUUUAAAUUUUUUAUAUUUUUUAGUUGUUGCAUGAAUAUUACAUCAUUCUCCAUGAAUAGAAUGUGAUAGGGCAUGGUUUUUAAAUCACUUUUAUAAUAAUUUUUUUAUAAUUAACAAGUUUGGCAAAAGAUAUUCUUAAAUGAUUUAAUUUAUAUUCAAUGCUAGUAGUCAUUUUAAUUGGAUAAACUUUUCAAAAGCAAAUUUGAAGAAUUUGGGUCAAAUGUAAUGUGCAUUUUUGUAGGGCCCUCCCAAUGGACCUCGUAAUGCCAAAACUUCUGGCCUUCAUGUUUUGUCAACUUGUUCACACAAUAAGCUCACGAGCUUUACCUUGCUUUAUCUUGUGAGACUUUGAUAUAUGCUUUGUUUGUAUUAAAGAGGUAAAAAAGUUCUUAACCACCAUUCCAUUUUGCACUAAAAAAAAAUUGAUAUAGACAUGCCAAUUGACUUUGUGUGUCAAAUAUUGUCAUGAUGCAUAUGAGAAAAUAAUGUGUCAUUUGACUCCUUUGAGUCAAAUCUUGCCUUUAAGUACAGAGAAAUAUUUGAGAAAUCGCAAGCAUUUUUUCUUUGUUGUUCAUUAAUAUAUGGAAUAGGUUGACCUUUGAAUUAGUCAAGGACAUGGUAGGUCUUUUGGUCUUAUUUUUACUCAAAUUUAUUUGACUCAAAACUGAAGUAGCAUUAAAAAUGAUACUUCAUGUGGUUGUAAAUUUACAUUUCCUAAGGGUUUUCUUCCCUAUUUGAACCAAAAAUUGAUUUUUAGGGUUAGAGGAACACCUCCCCUACAACAGUCAGACAAACUCCAUUGAGUUCCUCUUCCAUUCAAAGAGUGGGUGUGUUUGUUUCCCAAGAAAAUCUAACCCAUUUUAAGUUCAAAAUAAAUUUUUAUCAAAUUUUUCUUUAGAGCUUGGGUUGAUUCAUUUGGUUCUUCCAAAGAUGAGAACUUUUAACUCAAUGACCCAAUCAAAUUACAUGCAUAAUAACAUGAAAAUCUAGAAACUUAAGUAUUACCGUUUCUAAAUAUGACAACUUUUAAUUCAACAACCCAAUCAAAUAAUCAUGCAUAAUAACGAGAAAAAUCUAAAAACCUAAGAACUACCGUUUCCGAAGAUAUGGACUUUUAAUCUAAUAAACCCAUCAAAUAACAUGCAUAGUAACAAGAGAAUCUAAAACCCCUAAGAACUAACAUUGCCAAUUUAACCCAAUAACCCAAUCAACUAACAUGCAUAAUAACUAGAGAAUAUAAAAAAACCCUAAGAACUAAUCAUUGAAACAUGAAAAUUUUGAUAGUAUGGGAAUAACCUAUAAACCUUAAAAUUAUCAAACUUUGAAAAGUAAGAUUUUUAAUAAAAUAGCAUUCUAACACCAUGAAUGAUAACUAGAAAAUUUAAAACCGAACCAAAAUUUUCAAGAUAAGACUUCUAAGAAAAUAGCAUUUUGAUAACAUGAAUAGUAACUAGAAAAAUUAAAACCUAACCAAAAUGUUCAAGAUGAGACUUUCAAUGAAAUAGAAUUCUAAUAUCAUAAAAUAUGUUCCAAAAAAUUUAAAACCUAACCAAAUUUUUGUAUAACCAACUUUUCAAGAUGGGAAUUUUUAAUAAAGUAACAUUCUAAUAACAUAAGAAGUGUACUUGAAUAUGUCUAAGUAUGUUGUCCUAAAGGAGCACUUAAAAAGAAGCUAUUCUAAAAAGAGAAAAGGAAAAUCCUAGAUCUAACUUGGGGUUUCCAAGGGUCACAAUGAGGGGCUAGAUAAAUCCCUCAACUAGAGUCUUUGAGAUGGCUAAAAAAGGUAAGUUGUGUGAGUUGAAAAUGGGCCACCAGGGAGACUACUGCAAAGUAUGAAAAUAGCACUUAAUAGGGCAUGUGCUAACGUAACAAAUGGAAAGUCUACACUUGCAUGCUAGAUUUAUUCUAAGUUGUGCUCACAUCUAUUUUGCAAGGUUGUUUUAUUCAUCUCAUGGACCCUAAGGAUGAAUGAAUGAAAUGCUUUUAUUAAUUCAAUUGAAUGAAUGAAUAUGAAUGGAUAUGAUCUUUGCCAUUUGAUUCUCUAGUUUGGGUUGUGCACCCCAUGAGGGGUACAAGAUUUUUAUUUUAUUGUAAAAAUAUUUUCUUUUCAAUAGAUGGGUUGUAAGCUCCAUUAUAGGAGCAUAUAAUUUUAUUUUUUAUUUUUUUGAUUGUAAAUUUUUUUUUUUAUCCAUUUAUGGUGACCCAAAAGGAAAGGAAAAAUUCUUAAAUUUUCAUUUUUGAGAUCCUAUGGUGACUUAAGAAAAAAGAAAGAUUCUUGAAAGUUCUUGAUUUGAGAUCCUAAUUUGACUCAAAAUUGGGACAAAUCAUAUAUGGUUUUGAAGCUUAGGAAGUUAGGAAUCCAAUGCUUCAAACAAUUUUCUAUUCGGAGUUGAAAUGAGGAAGAUAUAGUCAAUUGAAGUAAGGUUGUACAAAGAGCAUACUAUUUCAGAAUUAAGUUCGGGCCAAAUUGUUUUUGGUUAUUUGGGCUUCUUUUUUAGCUUUUUUUUUUUUUUUUUUUUUUUUUGUGGAAAUUCGACAUUUUAGGGUUUUGUCAAUUUUUACUAACUAAUCUUUGGUUGUAAGAAUAUUUUGAUAAUUUGAAUUUUGUCCAAUUUUUAAUUACCAAAUAUGCAAUAGGAUCCCUAAAGUUCAUGAGAAAUAUUUAUUUAAUUAUUUCCUUGUUUUUAUUUUAUGUUAUCUUUAUUACUUGCUUAUGUGACCUAAAAUAGGAUAAUUUGGUAUUCUUAAUUAGAUAUAAAUUUUCAUGGGCUUUUUCAAAAUAGGAAAACUUAUUUAAAUUGGAAUGUGUAUUGUUAGGAAAUUUAUUUUAAGAAAAGAUAAGUUAGAAAAGAAUUAAGAGUUUCCAUUCCUUUUAAAAAUUAAUUCUUAAUGAUUUUAAUUUUAUUUAAAAUUUUCUUAGAUCUUUGAGAUCUCUAAGAAUAAAAUCUUUCUUUUAAUGAAAAAACUCUUGUUUUUCCAAAUCUUUAUAAAAUAAUAUUUUUCCUAUUUUGCACAAGGUUUUGAUUUAAAGAAAAUAAGUUGAUUUUGAAAAUUCAUAAUAGAUAAUUUAUAAUUAAGAAGGUUACCAAAAUAAGUAUUCAAACCUAAAGAAAAAUGUUUUGGUAUUCUCUAUAAAUUUUCAUGAAAAGAUUUUUCCAAGAUUAUAUAUUUGAAUUGGUUGUUGCUAAUGAGAAUCUUAUUCAUUUGGAACUAUCAUUUUGAUUUUGGUAUAGAUGCUUCUCCAAGCUACUACACCAUACCUAAGAUGGUCCUUCAGGCUCUCUCCUCCUGAGAUAAGGAGGAAACCCCUAUUUGGAUAUGGAUAGUUCAAAAAUAAAGACUAAGAGAGCAAUUUUGUUUAGCAAACGAGUCUUAGUUUAAAAGAUAAAUAACGGAUUUGAAAAACCUCAUGAUAAGAAGGGUUUUCAAUCUUGUAUGUAGAGGUGUCUAAUGGGUCGUGUUGGGCUGACAUGACCUAAUAUUGAUCGGGCCAUUAGGGGCCAAUGUGUCGGGUUGGGUCGACCCAUGCAAGCCAAAUAGGUGACUCGACACGGCCCAUAAGUCCAUGGGCUAAUCGUGUCAUGCUGGGUCGGGUCGUGCUGUGCCGGUGGGCCAUGGCCCAUGGGCCACUCACUUUGUUAAAAAUUUUAAUUUAAUUUUUUAAGUCAUUUUUUCUUAAGUUUUUUCCUUAUUAAAUAAAUUUUAUUUUUGUUACUUUAAACACCUCUAAUAAUUAUAUUUUUAUUUUAUUUUUUAUAUACUUCUAAUAAUUAUACUUUUUAUUUUUUACAUUUAUAUUUAUUGAGUUUGUAAUUGUAAAAUUUAUAGAAAUAUUAGUUUUUUGUUUUUAAAAAUAGUAAAAAAAAAUUACAUUUGAAUUUGUUUAUUUUAUUUUUAUCAAAAUAACAAUAAAUUUAAAAUAAUGGAAUAUAAAAGGAAAUGAAAUAUAAAAAAAUAAUUCUUUUAUUCAAUAUUUCAACAAAUUACAUGAAAAAAUAAUGAGAAAAAAAAAACAAAAGUGAGAAUUGCAUCACUAUAGUUUGAGUACAUCCCAACUAGGUUGGCACCCACCCAACUAUCAAUCAUAUGCAUUACUUAACCUUUAAAAAUUAACUACAUUUAAUAGAUUUAAAAGAAACGAACAACAUAUAAUUCUUCAAUUAUCAUAUUCACUUUUGUCUUCUUAUUCAAUCUUCAUUCUUAUUUUUUCAUCUUCAAUCAUCAUCAAUCUCUUGAACAUCAUUGUUUGCAUUGAGAUGCAAUUUCUUGAAGGCUUCUUUAAGUUCAUCCUCUAAAGUUUGACAUGAAAAAAGUAAAAAUAGUUAUUGAUUUACUUUUUUUACCCCUCAAACUAGUUGUAAUAUAAUUGUUAAGAGGGGUAUUAUAGACAUUUGACAUGUAAUAAAAAGUAAACACUAAAAGGUGAAAUUUAAAAGGGCCAAGUGGGUCGACACGGUGGGCCGACGGGUUGUUUCUUUAGGCCUAGCAUGGCCUGCUCCUUUGGGUCGUGUUGUCUUAGCUUGCUAUAGUGUUAGGCCAUACUGGCCUUGCCUGACCUUUUGGCGUGCCGAGCCACGGGCCAAAAUGGGCAGCCCGACCCAAUGACCCAGAUUUCAUUAUACAUUUGAAUGGUUUGAAUUGGAAGUUUGAUUUAGGACAAAAUCAAUAACCAUUAAAAAAAGAAAGAAUAUUGUAACACCGUUCAUACCUAUUGACUUUCGUUUUUAAUACUAUUGAAAAUUUUCACGAAUGAGAAGGCAACAAAGCAAGAAUUCUUAAGAUUCUAACUAUGCUACAGUCAUGAAAGAAGAAAAAGGGGGGAGAAGUAAUGUUUUUAUACUACAACCCACAAUCAUGAAAUAAGAAAAAAGAAAAUUCCAAAAAAUAUAGACCAAACAACAAGAACUUGCUUAGGCAUCUUCUAUACGUGAUCCUUUCUUGUCACUUGUUUUUUUUCCAUACUGGAAUGUAAAAUCCUACCAUGAGUGUUAAAAUAAGAUUGCCAUACUUAUUAACCAAUUAGUGAGUAAUUCCUACAAGUGAUAGUUUCUUAUAAUACACAUAUUUCUUGUUUACUUGAGCGCUAGUAGUAAUGAUCAUAAUUUUAAUAUAUUGAGAAUGUAAAAUUUUCUAGCAACAAAUAUAUUUAGCCCAUUGUAUUACAAAAAAGUACUAAAUGAAGAAAAAAAAUAGAGAUGGAAAGAAAUCUAAAUUCUCUUUAGUUCAAAGGUAUAAAAUAAAAUCAAAUAUAAUAAAAAAAUUCAAAAUUUUUCAAUCUUUAUGUAGAAUAGAAAAAAGAAGAAGAAAAAGGAUACUCUUGGUGAAACAUGUAAGAAAUGUUAAUUGAAUUUAAAUUUAUUUUUCAUUUUAUUAUUUUUUUAAAAACUUUUUAUUGUUUUAAAUUAAGAAAUAUACUAAAGACAUAGGUUUUAGUGAUUGCCAUAUGUUGGUAAUAAGCAGGGAAUGUCACUAAAAAAUACAAUAUAUUUUAAUUAAAUGUUACCAAGUAUUGUAUAAUGAAUGAGAGAUGAAUGUUCAAAGAACUCAACCCCUUUUUCUUUUUAGAAAAUCCAUUAGAAAAUUUUUCUUGAAGACUUGAAUAAGAUUUCCUUGGAAAGCAAACAACCUCCAAAAGAGGAAGGGAAUGAAGAGCUCACUCACCGAUUGUUGCUCUCUACAAGCUCUCUCCUCCUGAGAUAAGGAAGAAACCCCUAUUUGGAUAUGGAUAGUUCAAAGAUAAGGACUAAUUAGAAAACAAUUUUUUUAACACACGAGUCUUAGUUUAAAAAAUAAAUAACGGAUUUGAAAAAUCUCAUGAUAAGAAGGGUUUUCAAUCUUGUAUAUUUAUAUUGUCAUUCAAUGACUUAAAUUUCAUUAUACAUUUGAAUGGUCUGAAUUGAAAGUUUGAUGUAGGACAAAAUCAAUACCCAUUAAAAAAGGAAAGAAUAUCGUAACACCAUUCAUACCUAUUGACUCUCCUUUUUAAUACUAUUGAAAAUUUUCACAAAUGAGAAAGCAACAAAGCAAGGAUUCCUAAGAUUCUAACUAUGCUACAAUCAUGAAAGAAGAACAAAGAAAAUUCCAAAAAUAUAGACCAAACAACAAGAACUUGCUUGGGCAUCUUCAGUAAGUGAUCAUUUCUUGUCACUUGUUUUUUUCCAUAUUGGAAUGUAAAAUCCUACCAUGAGUGUUAAGAUAAGAUUGCCAUAAAAGAAAUUAUCAAAUAUGACAAUAUUUUUUCUAAUUUUCAAAGAAUUAUCAAAUAUGACACUAAAUUUUCAAAAUAACACUAAAUUUCUUUCUAUUUUGGAUUUAAAAGUGAGUAGUAAAACUAAAAUUAUCAAAUAUGACAAUAUUUUUUCUAUUUUUCAAAGAAUUUCGAAAGCAUUAUAUUUAAUUAAAAACACUUGGCUGAUAAAUAAAUAAACUGAAAACAUGGGAAUUCUGGAGAGCUACGAAACGGAGAUAAGAAUAUAAUUAAGGAAAAUGAAAGUGAAAGCCAAGGAAUGAGCAUCAUCACCUCCUAGAAGUAUCUAACCCACCUCGCUGAAGUUUGCUAUAAAUACCUAACAAUUUCCCUUGAGUUCAUCAAUGCUUGAGUUUGAAUCUUAUCAAUCACAGUAGUAGCAAUGGCAGACGAGAUUAUCUUGUUGGAUUUCUGGCCUAGCCCGUUUGGUAUGAGGGUCAGAGUUGCCCUGGCAGAGAAGGGUCUCAAGUAUGAAUAUAGAGAGGAGGACCCGAGGAACAAGAACCCUCUGCUUCUUGAGAUGAACCCCGUUCAUAAGAAAAUCCCAGUUCUGAUCCACAAUGGAAAGCCCAUUUGUGAGUCUAUGAUAAUAGUUCAGUAUAUUGAUGAGGUUUGGAACAAAAAAUCUCCGUUGUUGCCUAGUGACCCAUACCAGAGAGCUCAGGCCAGGUUCUGGGCGGACUACAUAGACAAGAAGGUAUGCCUUUUCUGUUGAUUUAAAGCAUUCUUUUCCAUUGAUUCAUGGCGAUUGACUCACAUUUUGAUUAUGGUGAGGGAUUUAUCCAAAAUGCUAGUUCUUCACAUAUUCUCUUCUGAUAUUGAGUUUUGUUGGCUUUGGUGUCCCAAACUAGAACUUUACUGAUUCUCUUGCUGUUUCUUCAACAAGACUCCCCUCUGCAUUUCUGAUAUGGGUUUUUAUUUCUUUGUUCUGUUGAAUCCGACGUCUGUUCGUUCCAUCCAAAAAAGCAGAUCUCAAGAAUACCUUUUCCCCCAAGAAAGGGAAUACAUAAACCAGAAUUUUAAAGAACAGAUUUUGGUUUUUCGUUAUCCUGCUGUUCAACAUUUUGCACAACAGUUGUUUUAAUAUAUGUUCUGUCUUUUUGAUCUCUUUCUUCUCAUUUCUUUAACACAAAUUGAGGGGAAAAACUUUAGCAAAUGAUACAUUCUUUCAACUGAUUCUGAUAUUUUUCCUAGGAUACGAGAUUUCUAUGCCGAAGGGUCGUUAAUAAACUUGCCCAACUAUACAGAAAGUUUGAAACUUGAUGAAAUGCUUCCAAAAGAAAAAAAAAAAACCCUUUUCUCUCUUUGACUCCAUUACUUUCCACAGCUCUAUGAACUUGGAAGGAGGAUAUGGUCAACCAAAGGAGAAGAGCAGGAAACAGCCAAGAAUGAAUUCAUAGAGUACCUUAAGAUUUUGGAAGGAGAGCUUGGAGAGAAGCCUUACUUCGGUGGUGAGAAAUUUGGGUUUGUGGAUGUGGCUCUGGUGACUUUCUCAACCUUGUUUUAUGCGUAUGAGAGCUUUGGUAACUUCAGCAUAGAGGUGGAGUGCCCCAAGUUGAUCGCUUGGACCAAGAGGUGCAUGGAAAAGGAGAGUGUGUCGUCUUCUCUGAAAGACCCACAGAAGGUCCAUGGCUUUGUCAUGGAGAUGAGGAAGAAGCUUGGUAUAGAGUAAAAGGGGAACAUCAUGUGUGGGGGUCUUUCCAUCGAAGACCCACACAAGGUCCAUGACUUUGUCUUGUGGAUGAGAAAGAAGUUCCGUGUAGAAUAAAAGGGCUUUUGAAUCGUGUUGUAUUGGUAAUAUGAGAGGAGUGUUUGCUUUAAGUAUGCUUUGAAGGGGCUGGAAAGAAAUGUUUACAAUUUGUUUUCUUUUGUUUUGGACUAGAGACGUGUUCUUGUAUUGAAGAAAUAAAAGAGUUUUUAACUACAUUCCAUUGUAUCAUGUCACAUAAACAAGCAUUAAAAUAAGUUGGAUAAGACAUGCCACAAAGUUGAUCAGAUGCGUAGUCUAUAAAGA